rnacentral:lncRNA from 1 species
UUUUUUUUUUUUUAGUAUGGCUACUAAUUUUUUGAUUAAGAAUAUUUUGUUCCCCAGCAAAAAUUUGCGAAUUUUCAAAAUUUCCCACAUAUUUAGUUAAUUUUUUUAACCCUGGUACUAAUUGGAAAAUGGGCAGCAAUUCUAAAAAUGGAAAACGGGCUGCAAUAAAUUCCAUAUGAAUUAGAAAAUGAGUAAAAUUACAAAAAUAAUAGCAAAUGGGUUGUACACGCCACAGAUUUCGAGCCUAACUUGUUUACACAAGGCUUUGUCAGUCAACACACGAUUCUAGUAGCAUUGAAUGUUGGAUGUCCAUCCAACGGCCGACGUGCUUCUUCAAUCUCUAAUCUUCCUGCUCCAGCCGCCUAAACUAGCGCCGGCGGGACUGCCUGCUCUCUCCUCUUGUGGCCUCCGCUGGCCUGGCCGCACGCAAUCAACUGCCUCCUUAUUAUGUGAAAAAAAUGAUUCCUCCCACUGACAUCUGGGGCGCAUCGGUUGGGAGGCUGACCUAUGGGCCUACUAAGUUGAAGCGUACGAGGGCUUGUCAACAACGAUUCAAGCAGUAACCAUUGGAUUUGAAUCGAAUGGUCCUGUUGCUUCUUCAAUUGCUCCUCUUCUUGCACCAGCCGCCCAAACCAGCGCCGGCGAGACCGCCUGCUCCUGCCUCCAGUGGUCGGCUGUGCUGCCAUUGAGGCCUCAUCACCCCCUACUACUCCCACUACUAGCCAGGCCCUGCGACGACGGCAGCCUCACACUGUGUAACCCACAAGUGUAGGGGAUCGCAACAGCUUUCGAGGGUAGAGUAUUCAACCCAAAUUUUUUGAUUCGACACAGGGGGAGCCAAAGAAUAUUCUCAAGUAUUAGCAACUGAGUUGUCAAUUCAGCCACACCUGGAUAACUUAAUAUCUGCGGCAAAGUAUUUAGUAGCAAAGUAAUAUGAUAUUGGUGGUAAUGGUAACAAAAGAGCAAUGAAAGUAAAAGCAAUAUUUUUGGUAUUUUGUAGUGAUUGUAACAAUAACAACGGGAAAGUAAAUAAGCGUAAACCAGUAUAUGGAAAGCUCGUAGGCAUUGGAUCAGUGAUGGAUAAUUAUGCCGGAUGCGGUUCAUCAUGUAACAGUCAUAACCUAGGGUGACACAAAACUAGAUCCAAUUCAUCAAUGUAAUGUAGACAUGUAUUCCGAAUAUAGUCAUACGUGCUUAUGGAAAAGAACUUACAUGAAAUCUUUUGUCCUACCCUCCCGUGGCAGCGGGGUCCUAAUGGAAACUAAGGGAUAUUAAGGCCUGCUUUUAAUAUAGUACCGGACCAAAGCAUUAACACAUAGUGAAUACAUGAACUGCUCAAACUACGGUCAUCACCAGGAGUGGUCUCGACUAUUGUCACUUCGGGGUUGCCGGAUCAUAACACAUAGUAGGUGACUAUAGACUUGCAAGAUAGGAUCAAGAACACACAUAUAUUCAUGAAAACAUAAUAGGUUCAGAUCUGAAAUCAUGGCACUUGGGCCCUAGUGACAAGCAUUAAGCAUAGCAUAGUCAUAGCAACAUCAAUCUCAGAACAUAAUGGCUACUAGGGAUCAAACCCUAACAAAACUAACUCGAUUACAUGAUAAAUCUCAUCCAACCCAUCACCGUCCAGCAAGCCUACGAUGGAAUUACUCACGCACGGCGGUGAGCAUCAUGAAAUUGGUGAUGGAGGAUGGUUGAUGAUGAUGACGACGACGAACCCCCCUUUCCGGAGCCCCAAACGGACUCCAGACCAGCCCUCCCGAGAGGUUUUAGGGCUUGGCGGUGGCCCUGUAUCGUAAAACGCGAUGAUUUCUUCUCUCUGAUUUUUUCCUCCCCGAAAGCAAAUAUAUAGAGUUGGAGUUGGCGUCGGAGGAGCUCCAGGGGGCCCACGAGGUAGGGGCGUGCCCUAGGGGGGGCACCCCCCACCCUCAUGGACAGGGUGUGGGCCCCUGGUCAUCAUCUUUGGCGAGUAUUUUUUAUUAUUUUUUCUAAGAUGUUCCGUGGAGUUUCUGGUCAUUCCGAGAAUAUUUGUUUUCUGCACAUAAAACAACAUCAUGGCAAUUCUGCUGGAAACAGCGUCAGUCCGGGUUAGUUCCAUUCAAAUCAUGCAAGUUAGAGUCCAAAACAAGGGCAGAAGUGUUUGGAAAAGUAGAUACGACGGAGACGUAUCAACUCCCCCAAGCUUAAACCUUUGCUUGUCCUCAAGCAAUUCAGUUGAUAAACUGAAAGAGAAAAAUAAAAACUUUUAAAAACUCUGUUUGCUCUUGUUGUUGUAAAUAUGUAAAGCCUGCAUUCAAGUUUUCAGCAAAGAUUAUAACUAACCAUAUUUGCAAUAAUUCUCGGGUCUCAUGUUUACUCAUAUCAAUGGCAUAAUCAACUAGCAAGUCAUAAUAAUAAAUCUCGGAUGACAACACUUUCUCAAAACAAUCAUAAUAUGAUAUAACAAGAUGGUAUCUCGCUAGCCCUUUCUGAGACCGCAAAACAUAAAUGCAGAGCAACUUUAAAGAUCAAGGACUAACUAGACAUUGUAAUUCAUGGUAAAAGAGAUCCAAUCAUAGUCAUACCCAAUAUAAAUUAACAUUAAUGGAUGCAAAUGACAGUUGUGCUCUCCAGCUAGUGCUUUUAAUAAGAGGGUGAUGACUCAACAUAAAAGUAAAUAGAUAGGCCCUUCGUAGAGGGAAGCAAGGAUUUGUAGAGGUGCCAGAGCUCGGUUUUGAAAUAGAGAUAAAUAAUAUUUUGAGCGGUAUACUUUCAUUGUCAACAUAGCAACCAAGAGAUGGCGAUAUCUUCCAUGCUACACACAUUAUAGGCGGUUCCCAAACAGAAUGGUAAAUUUUAUACUCCCCCUCCACCAACAAGCAUCAAUCCAUGGCUUGCUCGAAACAACGAGUGCCUCCAACAAACAUCAGGUCCCAGGGGGAGUUUUGUUCGCAGUUAUUUUGAUUUAGUUUGCAUAAAGCAUGGGACUGGGCAUCCCGGUGACCAGCCAUGUUCUCGUGAAUGAGGAGAGGAGUCCACUCCUCUUGAGAAUAACCCACCUAGCAUGGAAGAUACGGACAACCCUAGUUGAUACAUGAGCUAUUCGAGCAUACAAAACAGAAUGUUUAUUUGAAGGUUUAGAGUUUGGCACAUACAAAUUUACUUGGAACGGCAGGUAAAUACCGCAUAUAGGAAGGUAUGGUGGACUCAUAUGGAAUAACUUUGGGGUUUAAGGGAUUGGAUGUACAAGCAGUAUUCUCGCUUAGUACAGGUGAAGGCUAGCAAAAGACUGGGAAGCGACCAACUAGAGAGCGACAACAGUCAUGAACAUGCAUUAAAAUUAAUAAACAUUGGAUGCAAGUAUGAGUAGGAUAUAAUCCACCAUGAAUAUAAAUAUCGUAAAGGCUAUGUUGAUUUAUUUCAACUACAUGCGUGAACAUGUGCCAAGUCAAGUCACUUAAAUCAUUCAAAGGAGGAUACCACCCCAUCAUACCACAUCACAACCAUUUUAAUAGCAUGUUGGCACGCAAGGUAAACCAUUAUUACUCAUAGCUAAUCAAGCAUGGCACAAGUAACUAUGAUCUCUAAUUGUCAUUGGAAACAUGUUUAUCCAUAAUAAGCUGAAUCAAGAACGAUGAACUCAUCAUAUUUACAAAAACAAGAGAGGUCGAGUUCAUACCAGCUUCGCUUAUCCCAAUCAAUUCAUCAUAUAUCAUCAUAAUUGCCUUUCACUUGCACGACCGAAUGAUGUGAAUAAUAAUAAGAGUGUACGUGCAUUGGACUAAGCUGGAAUCUGCGAGCAUUCAAUAAACAGGAGAAGACAAGGCAAUAUGGGUGAGGGAGUCCUGGACUAGGGGGUGUCCGGAUAGCGGAACUAUCAUCAUUGGCCGGACUCCAAGACUAUGAAGAUACAAGAUUGAAGACUUCGUCCCGUGUCCAGAUGGGACUUUCCUUGGCGUGGAAGGCAAGCUUGGCAAUACAGAUAUGUAGAUCUCCUGCCAUUGUAACCGACUCUGUGUAACCCUAGCCCUCUCCGGUGUCUAUAUAAACCGGAGGGUUUUAGUCCGUAGGACGAAAAAUAAUCAUACCAUAUGCUAGCUUCUAGGGUUUAGCCUCCUUGAUCUCGUGGUAGAUCUACUCUUGUACUACCCAUAUCAUCAAUAUCAAUCAAGCAGGAGUAGGUGAGGGAGUCCUGGACUAGGGGGUGUCCGGAUAGCCGGACUAUCAUCAUCGGCCGGACUCCACGACUAUGAAGAUACAAGAUUGAAGACUUCAUCCCGUGUCCGGAUGGGACUUUCCUUGGCGUGGAAGGCAAGCUUGGCGAUACGGAUAUGUAGAUCUCCUACCAUUGUAACCGACUCUGUGUAACCCUAGCCCUCUCCGGUGUCUAUAUAGACCAGAGGGUUUUAGUCCGUAGGACAACAACCAUUACAACAAUCAUACCAUAGGCUAGCUUCUAGGGUUUAGCCUCCUUGAUCUCGUGGUAGAUCCACUCUUGUACUACCCAUAUCAUCAAUAUUAAUCAAGCAGGACGUAGGGUUUUACCUCCAUCAAGAGGGCCCGAACCUGGGUAAAACAUCGUGUCCCUUGCCUCCUGUUACCAUCCGCCUAGACGCAUAGUUCGGGACCCCCUACCCGAGAUCCGCCGGUUUUGACACUGACAUUGGUGCUUUCAUUGAGAGUUCCUCUGUGCCGUCACGAUCAGGAAGGAUGCCUCUUCCCGUCUUUAAAGAUGGAACCAUCACCAAAGGAGCUCUGGCCGCCGGCCACACUAUCCGGCUAGGUGGUUUUCUCAUGACCGCCUGUUCGGCCAACACAUCGACGAUGACCUCUCGGGUCAUCGGAAGCAAUCUUCACGUCAGCUCGGAAUUCGCCAACAGCUGGAUCCGAUGGAGCUCUCUUCUGUAAACGAACUCCUGGACCGCAUUGCCGCCCUGGGGGUCGCCACAGACUACGAUCAUAUUGGGCUUAAAACCGAUAUGAGAGAGAUUAACUCUCCCCAUAUUACCCACCACGUUGCGGUGGUAGAGGAACAAAGCAGCUAUUCCCCCUCUGUACUAAAAACUAGUUAUGUCCGGACUCCCGAACCCUCCAUGCCGGAUUCCCGCGGAGGGACGGAUGUCGAUCAAGCACUAAACCUAAAGUCAGGCAUCGGACCGGACUCGCUGGACAACGCCCAGCAAUCCAAGCUUCCAAAUUCGGAAACUUUUUGGCCCUUGAGCCUCGAGAUGGGUAGGGUUCCGGACUCAAUUCCACCCACCCACCCAAACAUAUGGGAUCUAUCUCAAAUCCGGCAAGAGCCCGCCAAAACAGUACAUCAUUACUGGGCCAGAUUCCUCCUGGUCAUGGACAGGAUAAAGGACUGCCGUGAGGAAAACGCAAUUUCAAUUUUCUGCAAUAAUUGCACGGACGAGGGAAUCUCGAACGCCGUCAGUCGUCGUGAACUUACACGCUUCUCCGAUCUGGCGUCCAUAGUACGAAAGUACUGUGCGAUGGAAAGUUUCCGGAAAACCGAAACUAAGUUUUGGGACAAUCCGGCCCCGAAUACAACCCCAGUCCAAAAUAAAAGGGUGCAUCACACUCAGGCACCAGGUACAAAAACCAAAAAGCAAAAACCCCAUAAAGGGCACGGAACCGUACUAGAGGGAUGGCUCAGCGGACCCUGUAAAAUUCACAAUACAGAAGGCGCCACUCCAACACAUAGCCUUCGAGCAUGUUGGAUACUGCGGCAGGUGGCCAAAAGUGGCGAAGAGCUUCUAGCCCCGAAGAACCACCCCAACAGUACCAGUACGGUCUCAACAGUCUUCGAGACUUUCGCAUCAAAUAAUAUGCGGAAGCGAACAAUCCACAGCCUCGCGAAGUCUACCAGGUAGCAGGAACAAACCCAUGGAGCGACACGGCCAUCACCUUCAAUGCUAGCGAUGAACCUAAAUUCUGAACAGCCCGAGCACCAGCCGCAUUGGUCCUCAGUCCGAUAGUGGAUGGCUUUCGUCUUACCAAGGUACUCAUGGAUGGCGGCAGCGGAUUAAACCUCAUCUACGAGGAAACGCUUCAAAAAUGGAAAUAGACUGGAGCCGCAUGGAGCGAAGCAGCACAACCUUCAGAGGGAUAAUCCCUAGCCGGGAAGCACGCUACACAGGAAAAAUCACACUUGAUGUGGUGUUCGGCUCGCCGGACAAUUACAGGUCCGAAGAGGUCACGUUCCAAGUGGCCCCGUUCAGCAGCGGAUAUCACGCUAUAUUAGGACGAGAGGCAUUCACAAUUUUUCAAGCCAUACCCCAUUACGGGUACAUGAAGCUUAAGAUGCCUGGGCCCGGCGGAAUAAUCACUCUCGUAAGUGAUCCGGACACAGCACUCCGCGCCGAAAACAAGACAGCCGCAUUAGCCCUGGAAGCACUAUCCGAAGCCCUAGCGGCAGAGGAACUCACCAUGCUGCGCUCCAUGGUGAAUAGGGACGAUGUGAUACUCGAUAAGAGAUCCAAGGCUACCUCCUUUAAACCAGUGGAUGAAAUAGUCAAAUUCCAGGUCCAUCCAACGGACUCAACAAAGACGGCCUCCAUCGGGACACAGUUAAACCCUGAUGUAGACGCCGCACUGCGAGAAUUCCUUCGAGAGAAUUGGGACAUCUUCGCCUGGCACCCUUCAGAUAUGCCAGGAAUCCCACGCAGAUUGGUAGAACACAGCCUAAGCAUCAUAAAAGGAUUCAAGCCAGUCAAACAGGCUCUUCGGCGAUUUUCCGAACCCAAAAGACAGGCAAUGGGAGAAGAGCUAGCCAAACUAUUGGAAGCCGGAUUCAUCAGAGACAUCAAACAUUCGGACUGGCUAGCAAACCUGGUAAUGGUACCAAAGAAGGACAAAUCCUGGCACCUAUGUAUCGAUUUUGAAGACCUCAACAAGGCCUGCCCAAAGGAUCCCUUCCCCCUUCCCCGCAUCGACCAAAUAAUCGAUGCUACUGCAGGGCACGAUUCAUUGUGCUUCCUCGACGCAUACUCCGGCUACCAUCAAAUCAAGAUGGCGGAGGCGGACCAAGCCGCAACGGCAUUCAUUACUCCAUAUGGACCAUUCUGCUUCAACACGAUGCCCUUCGGACUUAAAAACGCCGGCGCAACAUAUCAGCGCAUGAUUCAGACAUGUCUGGCUACCCAGAUCGGCAAAACAGUAGAGGCAUACGUAGACGACGUAGUCGUCAAAACCAAACACGUCAAAACUCUUGUAGACGAUUUGAGGCUCACAUUCGACAACCUCCGAGCAUACGACAUUAAGCUGAAUCCGGAAAAAUGCAUUUUCAGCGUACCAGCCCGAAAGCUCCUGGGCUUCAUUGUAUCUGGUAGAGGAAUUGAAGCAAACCCAGCCAAGAUCCGAGCUCUGUCGCAGCUGGAUAUUCCAAAAGACCUCAAACAAAUACAAAAACUUACUGGAUGCGUGGCGGCUCUAAGCCGCUUCAUCUCCUGUUUGGGAGAAAAAGCAUUGCCCCUCUAUCGCCUCCUCCGGCGCACCAAACACUUCGAGUGGACGGAUGCUGCCACUGCCGGACUCGAAGAAAUAAAAGCCAUAUUGGCAACAAAUCCGGUCCUGGCCGCGCCUAACCUGGGCGAACCAAUGCUGCUAUACAUCGCGGCAACACAUCAAGUUGUAAGCGCGGUGCUGGUCGUCGAACGAGAAACAGAAGGGCAUAAACUCCCUCUUCAAAAACCAGUGUACUACGUAUCCACUGUCUUAACUCCCUGCAAGUCCCGGUACCCGCAUUAUCAAAAGAUAGCGUACGUGGUGUUCAUGGCAUCCCGGAAGCUUCGACACUACUUUCAGGAGUGUUCGAUAACAGUGGCCUCCGAAGUGCCCCUCAACGACAUUAUAAACAACCGCGACACGACGGGAAGGAUUGCAAAAUGGGCCAUUGAGCUCCUACCAUUCGAUAUAACUUAUAAACCUCGGCGAGCUAUAAAGUCGCAGGUCUUGGCUGACUUCGUUGCUAAAUGGACCGAAGCCGAACUCCCUAAAGAGUACGGCGCAUACUCCAAUUGGACUAUGCAUUUCGACGGCUCCAAAAUGUUGGCCGGCUUGGGGGCUAGCGUCGCACUGACGUCCCCAACUGGAGACACAGUCCAAUAUGUACUUCAGAUAAUGUACACGGACUCCAACAAUGCAGCCGAAUACGAGGCCCUCCUACAUGGUCUCCGGAUGGCAAUCUCCAUGGGCAUUCAACGCCUAGAGGUGCGCGGGGAUUCAAACCUUGCAAUAUCCCAAGUAAAUGGAGACUUUGACGCCAAGGAUCCGAAAAUGGCAGCCUAUCGCAACGCUGUCCUAAAAAUGUCAGCUCGGUUCGAAGGACUCGAAUUCCACCACGUAGCCCAGGAUAAUAAUCAAGCAGCCGACGUGUUGGCACGCAUUGGCGCGAAACGCGACGCUGUCCCUCCAAACAUCUUCCUGGAACGGCUCUUUAAGCCAUCCGUACUAUGGGAAGAGGAGUCCGAAAAUAACAACCCGGAAACAACCGCGCCACCCAACACAGAACAAUCUGACAUAAUCGGCGGUUCAACCGAUGAAAUAACACCUUCAGCCCACGAAAUAAUGGCGGUAAUUGCCCCGUGGACGGAACCAUUCCUAGCCUACUUAAUCAGGCAGGAACUUCCCGAAGACCAAAAUGAGGCCCGCUGCAUAGUUCGGCGAUUUAAACCCUACAAGGUCCAUGAGGGAGAACUUUAUAAGAAAAGCACAACCGGAGUCCUUCAAAGGUGCAUCUCCAAAGAGGAAGGGCGAAAUCUCCUGGCUGAAAUUCACGCCGGACUAGGCGGACACCACGCUGCAGCCCGGGCACUUGUAGGUAAGGCCUUCCGUACAGGAUUUUAUUGGCCGACGGCCCGGGCAGAUGCUCAGGACUUAGUCCAAAGAUGCGUCGGGUGUCAGCUCUUUGCCAAUCAGAGCCAUAUGCCACCUACCGCCCUCAAAACUAUACCCAUUACCUGGCCGUUCGCGGUCUGGGGGCUUGACAUGGUCGGACCCCUCAAAGGGGGAACCCACAAGCAAAAAUACCUACUGGUCAUGGUGGACAAGUUCACCAAAUGGAUAGAGGCCAAGCCAGUUAAAACGGCAGAGUCCGGACCAGUGAUAGACUUUAUAUCCGGGGUAGUACACCGUGAUGGCGUCCCCCACAGCAUCAUUACCGAUAACGGCACGAACUUCACCGCCGACGAGGUCAAACUUUGGUGCAAAAAUAUGGGCAUUAAGCUCGACUACGCUUCAGUCUACCACCCUCAAACCAACGGUCAAGUUGAACGAGCAAAUGGUCUAAUAAUGAGCGGCAUCAAACCCAGACUAGUGCGGUCCCUUACGGAAUCUAAUACGCACUGGGUAGAGGAGCUUGACUCCGUACUCUGGGGGCUGCGGACUACGCCAAACCGUACUACCGGAUUCACACCAUUCUUUAUGGUAUACGGCGCAGAGGCAGUUUUGCCCUGCGACAUAAUCCAUGACUCACCUCGAGUGCGCAUGUACGAAGAAAGAGAAGCCGAGCUGGAUCGGCAGGACAGCUUGGACGCAUUGGAGGAGGAACGCGAUGUGGCAAAGGCCCGUUCCGCAUUUUAUCAGCAGCAGGCAAGAAGAUAUCAAAGCAGAGAAGUACGGGCUAAAACUUACAAUGUUGGCGAACUAGUUCUACGCCUGCCGGACAAGAAAAAGGACAAGCUCAAGCCCAAAUGGGAAGGUCCCUUCAUCAUCGACCAAGUCCUGACCGGUGGAGCAUACCGUCUGCGGAAUGCAUCGGACAACCGACUCGAGCCAAACCCAUGGAACGCAGCCCGCCUCCGAAGAUUCUACGCCUAGCGCCGGACUAAGAGUUCGUCUCCUUCCUACGUCCACUUUUUUCACUCUUCAGCUGUCUUUUGUUUCUCUCUCUUCUCUCGCCUUUUUUUAAUACCCUUGAGGGCCUACUUGCGCAUUGUUUGCACAAACUUGAUGUGCUACCCGCACUCAUUAUACCUGGGGGCUUCUUUAACAGAAGCUUCAAUUAUACGGGCUUCACGCCCAGCACAUGUGUCAAACUUCCACAUGUACCUUUUAUUCACCAUUAUAUGCAUCGAUAUGACUUAAGUUUUGGCCAAGCUGGGUUGCCUGGCUCCUGUGCUUACCCCUACAUUCCCGAUUGUUCGGCUAGGAGGUAAAGGGAGCACCUCUGCGAUUGUUACUGCCGGGUCAGCCGGAUGUGUACCUCAGACUGGGUGAAGCCGAAAGCUAGCGUUCUUAAGGGAAUAUUCGGUCGAUGAUUUGAAAGAUGAUUUUUUACCUAUUUAUUUACCUGCCCCCAGAUGUUUUCCUGCUCUUUUCGCAGUCCGGACAUGCACUUUAGGGCAUGCCUCCUAGGGAAAGGAACCCUUAACGGAACUAUUCUCCCUGGAAGAUGUUUCUUACUAACCAUGUAAUAUAACAUAACUAGUUGGGCACUUGUCUGAUAAAGCACUAAUGACCCCUACGCCUGGUCUCCAUGCAUGCCCCAGUUUUGUCAUAACCGAGAAGGUAUUCGGACACACUCCGGACUCUUGGGUCCUGAGGUCGAAGCAAAAAGGUCGGCAAAGACAAACGAUCUAUAAUCCGGCUAGAAGGCAUUUUAUAUGUCAUUUUAAAAUACAGCGUCAAAUCGAUUGACUGUACUCCUCCUCAAUCCCUUCUAACAGGCUGUCUAAUUUACAGUCCCGUUGGGAAAACUUAGCGGCCAAUUCUACUUGGUCGUACACUAAGCUCACAGGGAUCUCCUUCCCAUCGGGCCCCACAGGUCCGACCUCGGCCAUGUGGUUUGGAUCCGCCUUCUUGUACCGUGUCUUCACCAUGGCCCAGGCCUCCCUGGCACCCUGACGGCAGGCUGAUAUCUUCCAUAAAUUGAAGCGCUGCCGUGCUCCCUGAAGCUUCUCUGCAAGCUCUCCAAGGCCCUCAGGUAGGGAGACGGAUGGCCACAGGGCCUGGACGACGCCAUUCAUCACCUGCCGAACACGUUCGAGCAGUUGCACCAGCUCGGGAAGUUGGUCACCCGUUGAAAUGGGCAUUUCCUCCGCAGGGCGACCUGUGAGCACACCUACAGACAUAUUUUUGUCAAUUGACUUCCUCGCCGAACUCUUCUUUUCAAAGGAGUUCGCUCAAGCACUUACUAUAGAUGUCGCGACGAAGCCUCUGAUUCUCCUUCACGGAGCCAGACAGCUCGGCCCGAACACCCUUUAGCUCUUCUCCUAGCUGGGUGUGGGCAUCCUGGAGUUUGUUCCUCUCCUGCUGCACCUCCGUCAGCACCCUCUCGCCAGCCUUCAGUUGGCGCAGUAGUUGUUGCUUGUCCGGAUCAAGUCCGGCAACAUCUGCAAUAUCAUUGUCAGACUUAUACAUACGCCACACACCGCUUAUCUUUUUCGAAAUAAUGUGUUACCAGAAGGGGUCUCUGUGCCUCCUUCAGCGGCAGCUAGUGCGGCCUCAAGUUGGGCCUUGCACUCUUGUAACUCCUGAGCCAAUUGGGUAUUCUUCUCUGUAAGACCCUGCAUAUCAAAUGAUCCUUAAAUCAGUUACUCUAACUACUUUAAGUCUCGGGGGCUACUGGCAUAUACCACUAUUAAAAUCUCUUACCCGUAUGUCUUUUACAUACUGCUCCGUGGCUCUGGUCAAACCAUCUCGAGCGGCACGGAGGUUCGCGUCUCCCGCGUUAAAGGCAUUCAACGCCUCAGGGGAGAAGCACACGUCACUAAAAACUGUCCGGCGGCGCCUAUGGUUCAUGGCCCUCUCGACCUCAGACCUGGUGGCGGACAGCCUGUCGGCAUCCUCCGUUGGAGGAGUAUCCGGCUCGCGCCUUGCGCUCGCCUCCCCCUCCGGACCAGCUGUUGGAGCCUGGCUGGCAGAGGCUUGGUUGGCAACCUCUCCGUCCAUAGUCCAGCGAAUGCUCUUUCUCCUGAAAAAGUCAUGAGCAUUAAUACACCUCCUAGGGACUUUGUCCUAAGUGAUGGUCGCAAGCUAUACCGUUGCGGUGACGUUUCGAUUCGUACCGCACCCCUCUUCCGCCUGCGGGGCCGGACUGACCUCUGUUGGUCAGCCGCCGCGGGUUCGGCUUCCCGCCUUGAAGGAACCUCCUACAAGACACCGUUGUGUACGAUGGUCAGAAAUGCGCGAGGAUGGAGUAAUGGUGUCAGGACUUCGGUCAUGAGUACCUGGGAAGCCGGUGAUAAGCCGGGGUAGUCGGCCGUAAUGGCGACUAAAGCGUUGUCCAUACUGAGUUGGUGGAACACCCCGUCAAUUAGCUCCACCUGUAUGUCCGGAUCCUCUUCGGAGGCCGGAUCAAGGGAUCUUCCCGGAUCCUCGGGUUGUGGGGCCGGACUAUGUAUGCUCUCCACAGUCCGGCGCAGUUCCUGCGUCAAAACCAUAAAAUAAGGUACUUAACUUUGAAAGCGCGGGUCGGAUAAAUAAACGUCCGCUUACCCAGCACCGAGGGUUGUUCAUGGAGAUCCCAUUCAAUGGGCUCGUCUGGAGGAAGUCCUCCUUCUCCCCCUUGUACAGGCCGGACAGAAUCUUCACCAGAUCUUCGGCCGAUUCCGGCCCUUUGCGGCCAUGACGGGUGGCAUCAUUCUCCCCGUUGAAAUCCCACAUAGGGUGGCCCCUGUAUUGCAGCGGCUGCACCCCCCCGCAUAAUGCACGUGGCCAUGACUCCAAUCAUGGUCAAUCCGGAAUGGGCCAGCAACCUUAUCCGGCCCAUCAAAUAAUGGACGCCCUGUCUUCCUCCAGUUGAGGGCUCCGCGGGCGCCAACUUAGGCGUUUCUUCAGAGGGGCGUUGCUAAACUCCGGGAGGCCGAUCCGUAUUGGGUCCGGCAGUGGAGCGUCUUCUACAUAAAACCAUUCCGAAGGCCAGUCUUCGGACGCCUUCUUAGGGGUUCCGGAUAGAUAUCCGGUCCCGGCGAUGCGCCAUGUUUCGGCACCGCCCACUUGAUAUAUUGACCCCUCGUGAGAGCGGGGUACGAGGCAGAAUAGCCUCUUCCACAGUGCAAAAUGGGGCUCGGUGCCCAGGAAUAGCUCGCAAAGAGCUACGAAACCCACGAUAUGCAGAAUAGAGGCGGGCGUUAGGUGAUGGAGCUGGAGUCCGUAGAACUCCAGAAGCCCGCGGAGGAACGGAUGUACAGGAAAUCCAAGCCCCUUAUUAGAUAGGGGACGAAGCAUACCCGCUCUCCUUUAGAGGGACUAGGGGUGGCCUCCGCUUGCUUCCCACCUUUGUAGGUGGCCAGCCCGGCUUGAAUCGGGACCAUAAAGGCCGGAGGAAGAUAUCCCUCCGCUUGGAGCGUCACCAGCUCGCUGUGCGGAACAGAACAUCUCCUCCCAUCUCCUGGCGGAGGGCUGGGAGCGCGAGAAGAGGAGCCGCAUCGACGGUCCAUGAUGGAAUGGAUUUUCGGUCAGAAGCGCUCCGAUGAGUACUCGCGGAGUGAAGAUGGUGUGAUUUGGAUCUGGAUUCCUGCCUCUCUUAUAGUCAGAUUGUUUGCGCAGCUAGGGGGUAAAGCAUAAAAGAUACCCUGGCUUUUCGCAUUCGUGCAACGCGUGGAAGAAGGCCAUUAUUGGGCGUGGAAGCCAAGGAGUGCAACAUCUGUAAGGGAGUUGGACACUGUUUGGCAGGUACAUGGAAUUUGAAGGAGAACCCGCCUUGCAACGCCGAAGACAAUAUAUGUGCCGGACUCGUCGUCAUUGAAGCCUGGUUCGGGGGCUACUCAGGGAGUCCUGGACUAGGGGGUGUCCGGAUAGCCGGACUAUCAUCAUCGGCCGGACUCCACGACUAUGAAGAUACAAGAUUGAAGACUUCGUCCCGUGUCCGGAUGGGACUUUCCUUGGCGUGGAAGGCAAGCUUGGCAAUACGGAUAUGUAGAUCUCCUACCAUUGUAACCGACUCUGUGUAACCCUAGCCCUCUCCGGUGUCUAUAUAAACUGGAGGGUUUUAGUCUAUAGGACAACAACCAUUACAACAAUCAUACCAUAGGCUAGCUUCUAGGGUUUAGCCUCCUUGAUAUCGUGGUAGAUCCAAUCUUGUAUUACCCAUAUCAUCAAUAUUAAUCAAGCAGGACAUAGGGUUUUACCUCCAUCAAGAGGGCCCGAACCUGGGUAAAACAUCGUGUCCCUUGCCUCCUGUUACCAUCCGCCUAGACGCACAGUUCGGGACCCCCUACCCGAGAUCCGCCGGUUUUGACACCGACAGUAGGGUUUUACCUCCAUCGAGAGGGCCUGAACCUGGGUAAAAACAUCGUGUCCCUUGUCUCCUGUUACCAUCCGCCUAGACGCACAGUUCGGGACCCCCUACCCGAGAUCCACCGAUUUUGACACCGACAUUGGUGCUUUCAUUGAGAGUUCCUCUGUGUCAUCACCCAUAGGCCCGAUGGCUCCUUCGAUUAUCAACAACGACGCGGUCCAGGGUGAGACUUUUCUCCCCGGACAGAUCUUUGUAUUCGGCGGCUUUGCACUGCAGGCCAAUUCGCUUGGCCAUCUGGAGCAGAUCGAAAGCUAUGCCCCUGGCCAUCAGGUCAGAUUUGGAAGUUUGAACUAUACGGCCGACAUCCAUGGAGACUUGACCUUCGACGGAUUCGAGCCAUAGCCAAGCGCGCCGCACUGUCACGAUGGGCAUGAUUUAGCUCUGCUGCCGGACAGUUCCCUGGAGGGCACACCAGAGUCCGCUCCGACCCUUAACUCGGAGCCGACUGCGCCGAUCGAAGAUGGGUUGCUGGACACCGCCUCGGGGGCUGCUACCUCUAUGGCGAUGGAGCCGAAUACCGAACUUGUCUCUUGUGAAGCUCAUGACUCCAAGGUGUCGGACUCUUCUCCGGACCUCGAACCUUCCGCGCUCCUGCCAAUCGAACCCGAUUGGGCGCCGAUCAUGGAGUUCACCGCUGCGGACAUCCUUCAGCACUCGCCUUCCGGCGACAUCCUGAAUUUGCUAAAGUGUCUCUCUUUAUCAGGAGAGCCUUGGCUGGAUUAUGGCCACGACGGUUGGGAUGCGGACGACGAAGAAAUUCAAAUCCCACCCACCACCCACUUCGUAGGCACUGUCGAUGACUUAACCGACAUGCUACAUAUCGACGGUAUGGACGACGAUGCCGGAGACGACCAAGAACCAGCGCCCAUAGGGCACUGGAAAUCCACCUCAACUCAUAAUGUAUAUAUGGUGGAUACACCUAAGGGAAGCGAUAACAAAGAACAACGGGACGCUGCAAAGGAUAAUUCCCCCGAAAAACAGCCGAAACGGCGACGCAAACGCCGCCCAAAGUCCCGCCUCGACAAUGACAGCACCCAUACAGACCCAGCCGUAGAGCAGGGCGAACUAGUGGACGACGAACAUACCCCCAAGCAACCAUCCAAACAGGAUGGAUUGGACAAGCAACCUAUCCCCGGCGAAGACAACGGUCCGGACGAUCUCACACCGGACACAUUGUUGGAGCAGAAGAACCUCCACAAAAGGCUCGUCGCCACUGCACGAAGUCUGAAGAAGCAGAAGAGGAAGCUCAAAACAGCGGAAGACGUACUCGGAAUGAGAUGGAGCAAAGUACUCAAGACCGCAGACAAAUACGGUGAUAGUCGCCAAGCAAAGACCUACCCGAAGCGCAAACUGCUGCCCGAAUUUGACGAGGAGGCCGUAGAGCCCCCACAAUCAAAAAACAAAGAGGCCGCCCGGUCGGAUAGACAACCACAUGACAAACAAAGAGCGGCAAGCGGCGCCACAUACAAGCCGGCACGUGAUCCGCAUAAGGAUCCUCGCAAAAAGGAUGGCCCGGUCAGAUCCAUCUAUGGGCCAAGAAAGCAUGCUCCAGAAAACAACACAACAUGUCGAGUAUUCAAAAAUCAUGGCACACCCAAAUACAUGGGCGCCGCACACUCCCUAUGUUUCACCGAUGAGGUGCUGGAUCAUGAAUUCCCAGCGGGAUUCAAGCCCGUAAACAUAGAGGCAUACGACAGAAAAACAGACCCCGGAGUCUGGAUUGAGGAUUACAUCCUACACAUACAUAUGGCUAGAGGAGAUGACCUCCACGCCAUAAAAUACUUACCCCUCAAGCUCAAAGGGCCAGCCCGGCAUUGGCUCAAAAGCCUCCCAGAAAAUACCAUUGGAAGUUGGGAAGAGCUAGAGGAUGCGUUUUGGGCAAAUUUUCAGGGGACCUAUGUCCGCCCUCCAGAUGCAGACGAUUUAAGUCACAUAACUCAACAGCCCGGAGAGUCAGCCCGCAAAUUCUAGAACAGGUUCCUCACAAAAAAGAACCAAAUAGUCGACUGUCCGGACGCCGAAGCCUUAGCAGCCUUCAAGCAUAAUGUCUGAGACGAAUGGCUCGCCAGACACCUCGGCCAGGAAAAGCCAAGAACAAUGGCCGCACUAACAAGCCUCAUGACCCGCUUUUGCGCGGGAGAGGAUAGCUGGCUGGCAAGAUGCAGCACCAGCGACCCAAGUACAUCCGAGGUCAGGGAUGGAAAUGGGAAACCAUGACGCAGAAAGGACCAGCGCCGGACUAAGGGAAAUGACCCAAAGAGCACGGCAGUCAACGCCGGAUUCAAAAGCUCUCGGCAGAACAAUAAAACGCUGCCUCUCAAGGAAAAUAGCGACGAGCUAUCUAACCUAAACAAAAUCUUGGACAAGAUAUGCCAAAUCCACAGCACCUUUGGGAAGCCUGCAAACCAUACCCACAGAGAUUGUUGGGUCUUCAAGCAGUCCGGAUGACUUAAUGCCGAACACAAGGGGCUCGAAACACCAAGUGAGGAUGAUGAUGAACUCCACAAGUAGAGUACCAGCAAACAAAGGAACUUCCGACAAGAGUUCAAAACAGUAAACUCACUUCAUGUGACAACAGGCAAAAAUAGAGUGGCGCCCACUGAAGUGGGCGCCGCAUGGUCCACCCCAGCAGAGUCCCGACACUGGAUGUCAAAACCAAUCAACUUCGACCAUCAGGAUUACUCCGAAAGUAUCCGGAAUGCGGGAUGGACUGCUUUGAUAUUGGAUCCUAUAAUCGACGGACUACAAUUUACACAAGUCCUAAUGGACGGCGGCAGUGAUCUAAACCUGCUAUACCGGGACACAAUCCGCAGAAUGGGGAUAGACCCAACCAAAAUUCGCCAUAGCAACACCUCCUUUAAAGGAGUAACGCCAGGCCCAUAUGCCAAUUGCACGGGCUCCCUACUACUGGAAGUUGUGUUCGGUUCAUCCGACAACUUCCGUCGCGAAAAGCUAAUCUUCCACAUUGCCCCAUUUAAAAGUAGCUAUCAGGCACUAUUGGGACGUGAAGCUUUCGCCCACUUUAACGCAAUACCGCAUUAUGCGUCUCUUACACUUAAAAUGCCCGGUCCACGUGGCAUCAUCUCAUUAAAGGGAAACUUCGAGUGUUCCUCGACUACGGAAGAACGUGAGACUGCCUUGACAGCCACACACUAAUCCGGCCUUGCUGGUCAAAGCCCCUAAACAGGUCAUUCAGACCCCAGACACGGUUAGGCGAGUCCGGUAUAAACAAAUAAGGGGCUCACUAGCCACGUACCCCUUUACAAGGGGCUCCACGCAUGCACAAAAAGAGACAAUAAAGCUCAAAUUUUAUUCAUUCCUUGAACCAUACUCUGUUUAUUUCAAAAUACAUCUUUCGCACGAACUCUUUUCCAACUAAGUUCUUCUCUUUUACAGAUGAACACCGUGCGACACCCGUCCAGGAUACGGCACAACGGAGACACAGCGCAGACGUGCAGUAGGGACCCGAUGCAAGGAUUCUUUUCAGAUUAAGACCCUGCGUAAACCUUUUUUACUGUCUCUUGUUGAUACACAUCCCCCAGUUUUUUGCUAUAACCAAGGAGGAAUCUGGCGUUUUGGCAUCGGCCGCGUCAGAAAUUUUUGCGCGUACCUGGACACUAGAGGCUUAGGGCAUUGUUCUGCCCGUUUUCAUAAAGACCGAAUACCUUAGGGAGUGUUCGGCGUCUCGAGUUAGGCCUUAUAUGCAUCAGCUCCGAAUCAUGUCUUUGGUCAAAUGUUGGGUUUGCCCGGCUCCUGUGUUUUUCUGCCUUACGUUCCGCUCUAUCAGCUAACGCGGCACCAGGAGAACUACUGCGAUUGUGCCCCGGUUCGCCCAGGUGAGCACCUCAGUAGAGAAAGCCGAAAACUGAUUGUCAUGAUAUAGCGAGAGAUUGGUCAACCACUCGAUCGACCACCGGAAUGUUUAGAAUUCCUCCGCUUUAACGAAGGACCGUUUCCUGGUCAGGCACAUACGCGCCCCGAAAUUCGGAGAGCGCAGUGCCCCUAGGGGCUAUAUAGUAGCCCCACCAUCGAACUCCUAUGGCUAAGUGAAAGUGAUAAAGCAUUAUAGUCCGGUUGCCUAGUUUGCUACGCUAUCACCUCCUUCACAGGACCAAGACGUUGGAUCAAGUGUGAAAAUGCGCUUUUUUUGCAAACACCCCCGCACUAUGUGUGUGGGGGCUGAAGCCGAAGACUACCAUCUUUCAGGUUAUAUACACAUAUACGUUACAGGCCGCACAGGAGGUAUUUCAACACUUGAACGCCCAAGUAUAAAAAGCCCUUAUAUUAUAUUUGAAACAUGGUUUCACAACUCAUACAUGUCAUUUGAACAUAACGUUUUUCGAGCACUGCGACUCUAUUAAACGAGCGCCCUGCAGGACUUCCUCAAAAUAGUGCUCGGCAGGUAAUCGGCUUCUGUCUGAAUCCUGGGAUGCAACGUCGGUGGCAUCCAUCUCUGCCCAGUAUGUUUUGACAUGGGCGAGAGCCAUCCGUGCACCCUCUAUGCAUGUCGACCACUUCAUCGCCUUGAUAUGCGGCACCGCAUCAAGGAAUUCCUGCACCAAGCCAAAAUAACUCUUCAGCUCGGGCCUUUUCGGCCACAGAUGAGCCACAACAUCCUUCAUGGCAUGUCCGGAUAACCUAUUCAGCUCAGCCCACUCAGCCAACCGAUCGGUUAAUGGAAGUGGAUGUUCCGGACUAUGGGAUUGAGACCAAAAAAGCUCUUCCGUUCCGUGAUCCUUUUGGCCUCGGAAGUGUGCGACUACGUUCGCCGCACUCGCCGCCAAAUUCAGAUAAGCAUCCUCCGCACCCCACAACUGGCCCAAUUGAGCAUACUUCGGAUCCGUGAACUUCCUACGCAGCAGAAAGGGCUUUCCAGCCGCAAUAUCCCCGGCCUAACGCAGCUCUUCCUUUAUAGCUCUCAUCGCGGAGCGGGCAUCCUUGGCUUCGGCGGUGGCCUUCUUCAGGUCCUCUUGCUCCGCUCGGCGUUCUCCUUCAAGAAACUCAUAGCGGUCGGUAGCAUCCUUCAGCUUCACGGCCAUUUCGGCCAUUUCCUCCCUGCUUCGGCAGUGAGCAGCCUGUUCGGCUUUUAGCUCUUCGGCCGCCUUCAAGGCAGCCGCAUUACUUUUUGUGGCUUGCUCCUUGGCUCGGGCAAGCUCCGCCCGAAGGUCCUCCAUAGCAGCGGCGCCAUCUGCAUUAAGCAUACAUGUUGUAAGGCACGGGCAUCAAGCUCCCUUACAAGGUGUCCGCGGAGAAGCCACAUACCUUGUGACUCAUCAAGUCGUUUAUUGACCAGCGCGAUGUCCGCAUCCGCAACGUCGAGUUGCCGCUUCAGUUCGGCAACUCUAUCAGUCCGGCUGGCCACCGAAAGUUCCACCACCUGAAUAGGAAGAGCGACAUCUUAUAACUGAGAUUAUGAUCCUCGACACGUUGUCGCUUUUGACAACGUACCGAGUCUCAGGGGCUACUAUCUAUACAGGGCGCAUCCUAUGUGCAAAACUGUCAAAAGGUAUAUCAUUUUCACGUACCUCAAACCCCAUCAGUAAACUUCUGACGACCUCAUGCAACCCGCUCUCAGCGGAUGAAAUCCUUUCAAUCACCAUACUCAUCAACGUACGGUGAUCUUCUGAGAUAGACGCCCGCCUGAGCAGAUCCUUCAGCUCCUCCGGCCGUACACCAGUUGGUGCCGAACUCUUCGGCCCCGCCAGACUCAAGGAGACCCUCCGCGACGACACCUCCGGGUCGUUCGCCCUGCCUGAUGGUGCGGCAGAUAGAGGCGUUUCUCUCUCCAUCAUCUCCGGACGAAGGUCCCCCGAAGACGAGCUUUGCUGAGAAGGGCUGAGAUCCGAACUACAAGGUAAAAACUUCAGUUAUCCUCAGAAAUAAAAACAGGGAUGUCCCUUAUUACAAAACUCCCCUUUCUACUUACGGCUUGCUGGAGGGUUGAUUCCCUUGGGGAAACAGUGCGGCCGGGGCUUCUCCUGGCGCGGGGCCCUCUGCCGAAGAUUUUUUCCCCCGUUUUGAGGCCUUGGCCUCCGGAUCUUCAGAAGCGGUCCUCUUCUCCCCCUGGAGGGAGGGAUUCUUGAUCCCCCCUUUCUUAAGAACCUCCUUAGCGGAGGCGGUAGUUUUCCUGUUUUCCCCUUCGCCCUCUUCCGAAGACACAGCCUCCAGCAUCUUGACUAACACAGGAUCCGGCGUGGUCUCAGGGAGGGGGGCCGGACACCGUAUCAGUUUUGCUUUUGCUAUCCACUCCUGUUCAAGGGAUAGCUGGUUAAAGGGCAAGUUUAUGGUAAAUGUAUGGACAGCGUGUCCGGGCACAGGACUACUUACUUGAGUAUCCGGGCGAUUGCAGCUCAGGCCUGCGUCCUCGGUCAGGUCCGGACACAUCUCUUGUGAUCCGAAGAACAGUUUAUACAUCUCCACGGGCGUCGCACCCAUGAAGUGUUGGAGAGCUCGCGGUCCCUCCGGAUUGAAUUCCCACAGGAGGAGGGGGCAACGUUUGCAGGGCAGAAGGCGCCGAAUCAGCAAGACCUGCGCCACUACAACCAGAUUGAUCUCCCUCUCUUGGAGGUCUCGAAUACGGCCCUGCAAUAAUGGCACAUCCUUGGACGGCCCCUAGUCAAGCCCUUUGUUGACCCAUGACGCCAGCCGUUGUGGAGGGCCCGAGCGAAAGGUAGGCGGCGCCACCCAUCUGGUGCCCCUGGGAGCGGUAAUGUAGAACCACUCCUGUUGCCGCAAACCGAGCUCCUUUUGAAAACAACCCUCGGGCCACGGAGUGUCAGCUCUCUUGCUUAUAACUGCCCCUCCGCACUCUACCUGCCGCUCCUCGAUCAUCUUCGGCUCCACGUUGAAGGUCUUGAGCCACAAUCCGAAGUUAGGAGUGGUGUGGAGGAAGGCUUCGCAUACAACAAUGAAUGAUGAGAUAUGGAGGAUGGACUCCGGAUCCGAGUCAUGGAAUUCCAGCCCAUAAUAAAACAUGAGCCCCCUCACGAAGGGAUCCAUCGGGAAGCCUAAACCCCGACGGAAGUGAGACACGAACACCACGCUCUCACCAGGCUCGGGAGUGGGAAUGACUUGCCCUUGGGCGGGCAGCCUAUGCGAAAUUUCGCCGGUUAGAUACCUAGUGUCUCUCAGCUUUAGCACAUCUUCUUCCGUGACGGAAGAGGGCAUCCACUGGCCCUGUAGGUCAGAGCCGGACAUUGUCGAAGGUCCGAAGCGCCUAAAUCUGGAGCCUUGGGUGUUGGAACUCGGGGCAAGGGGCGGAUUCGAUUGAAGAUUGAAGGAAAAGAACAGGCCUUGAUUUCGUUAUAAAGGGGUUGAAUACCAAGAGCCGUCCCCGUAACCGAUUGGGACUCACCUUCGAUGGAGGGGGCGUGCCAACGGGCGCGGUUGGGUUACCCACGUCCGUAUUGAUGAGAAUCCUGGAAUAAGGGGACACGAUCUCUGCAUUGACAAGACGUGCCAAGGAAACCGCUUCGCUAAACGCGUUGAGGUGGAGUAUUAAAAACGAUUCGAGUAAAGGCUUGGCCGUGGUGUGACGUCGUGCCGCGAAAUACGUCAGCAAAUUGAACUUGUGUGAAUAUUAUUCUCUCUACGGUGGAAUAUGGAAUUUAUUUUGCAGAGCCGGACACUAUCCUGGUGUUCAAGAUCUUCUAUGAAUUAUUCGGAGGAGGAACCCGCCUUGCAAUGCCGAAGACAAUAUGCACGCCGGACUUGUCGUCAUUGAAGCCUGGUUCAGGGGCUACUGAGGGAGUCCUGGACUAGGGUGUGUCCGGAUAGCCGAACUAUCAUCAUUGGCCGGAUUCCAAGACUAUGAAGAUACAAGAUUGAAGACUUCAUCCUGUGUCCGGAUGGGACUUUCCUUGGCGUGGAAGGCAAGCUUGGCAAUACGGAUAUGUAGAUCUCCUACCAUUGUAACCGACUCUGUGUAACCCUAGCCCUCUCCGAUGUCUAUAUAAACCGGAGGGUUUUAGUCCGUAGGACGAAAAACAAUCAUACCAUAGGCUAGCUUCUAGGGUUUAGCCUCCUUGAUCUCGUGGUACAUCUACUCUUGUACUACCCAUAUCAUCAAUAUCAAUCAAGCAGGAGUACGGUUUUACCUCCAUCGAGAGGGCCCGAACCUGGGUAAAAACAUCGUGUCCCUUGUCUCCUGUUACAAUCCGCCUAGACGCACAGUUCGGAACCCCCUACCCGAGAUCCGCCGGUUUUGAGACCGACAGCGAGCGAUAGAAAAUAAAUGGAUCUUUAAGAAGAAGAUGGACGCGGAUGGUAAUGUUACCAUCUAUAUGGCUCGGCUUGUCACUAAGGGUUAUCGACAAGUUCAAGGGGUUGACUACAAUGAGACCUUCUCAGCCGUAGCAAAGUUGAAGUCCGUUGUGGGAGUUUGUAGGCAAAAGUAAAAUCCUCUAAGUCCAUGGUAUAAGAUUUGUCAUAAAGAUCAAACAUGACUGAAGGAGAAUUAUGCGAAGAUGAAAAUUCAAACCUCCUCACAAAUGAGCUUGUGAAAUCAUCAUAUUGUCGGCAUUUGUCUGCCUCAAAGUCCACAAGAUCGGCAUUACGCAAAUAGGCGUUAAAUUACUCUUUGAUUCCUGCACGAUCCAUAAAAUUUUCAGAAGGCCAUUCACAAGGCCACACUAGAGCGUCUCUUGGUGGUUCCUCAUCAGCAUCACGCAUAGCAAGCCUGGGGCCUUGCUUCCUUGAAGCACCACCUUGGAACAUCCUCCGAAGCAUAUUGUUUUCUCUGAAAAAUUUCUGAAAUUUUUAGUAACUUCAAACAAAAGUGAACCAACUUUAAUAAAACUGAUAGCAACUACUCAUAUAAGUCCCUAGAGCCUAUAUCAUGCAUUAGGACUACAUGGAACCAUAUAAAUUUGACAUGCAAGCUCAAGAACAUGGUCACCUAUGCAACACAAAUUUGCGAAGAAUAAAGCACUAGAACAAAAACUAAUUGGACCAAUGGAGGAGUCACAUACCAAAGAACAAUCUCCCCAAGCAGUUUUGCAAUGCUUUGAGCAAGGAGAUCGAAAAUCACAGCAAAGUGAGCUAGAACUCGUGCUUGAGCUGGUUAUUCGGGUUUGUGCGAGGAAGAAGAGGAUGGGUGCAGGAAUAAUUGGAGGAGGGCCAUCGUGGGCCCACGAGGCAGGGGGCGCGCCCUGGGGGGUAGGGCACGCCCUCCACCCUCGUGACCAGGUGGCAGCUCCCCCCGCGGUGAUUUUUACACUAUAGAUCCUCAAAUAUUCCAGAAAAAAUCAUAUUAAAUUGGCAUGGCAUUUGGAGGACAUUUAUUUUCGGGACAUUUUUAUAUUGCAUGGAUAAAUCAGGAAAUAGACAGAAAAUAAUAUUUUUACUUUAUUUCAACUAAAUAACAGAAAGUAUAAAGAGGGUACAGAGGGUUGUGCUUCUAGUUUCAUCCAUCUCAUGCUCAUCAAAAGGAAUCCACUAACAAGGUUGAUCAAGUCUUGUUAACAAACUCAUUCCGAUUAACAUGGAACCAGAGAAAUUUCGAAAAACACUAUGUUACCUCAACGGGGAUAUGCACAUCCCCAAUAAUAAGAAUAUCAUAUUACUUCUUGAUAGUAGGAAGAGGAAAUUCAAAACCUCCAAAUAUAAUCGAUGGAAUUUUUCCAAUAGAGUUGAUGCUAUAAACUUGAGGUUGUUUCCUCGGAAAGUGUAUCGUAUGCUCAUUACCAUUAACAUGAAAAGUGACAUUGCCUUUGUUGCAAUCAAUAACAACACAUGCAGUAUUCAAAAAAGGUCUUACAAGAAUAAUAGACAUACUAUCGUCCUCGGGAAUAUCAAGAAUAACAAAGUCCGUUAAAAUAGUAACGUUUGCCACCACAACAGGCACAUCCUCACAAAUACCGACAGGUAUAGCAGUUGAUUUAUCAGCCAUUUGCAAAGAUAUUUCAGUAGGUGUCAACUUAUUCAAGUCAAGUCGACGAUAUAAAGAAAGAGGCAUAACACUAACACCGGCUCCAAGAUCACAUAAAGCAGUUUUAACAUAAUUAUUUUUAAUGGAGCAUGGUAUCGUAGGUACUCCUGGAUCUCCAAGUCUCUUUAGUAUUCCACCCUUAAAAGUAUAAUUAUCAAGCAUGGUGGAAACUUCAGCUUCCGGUAUCUUUCUUUUAUUAGUAAUGAUAUGCUUCAUAUACUUAGCAUAAGGAUUAGUUUUGAGCACAUCAGUCAAUCGCAUACGUAAAAAGAUAGGUCUAAUCAUUUCAGCAAAGCACUCAAAAUCCUCAUCAUCCUUUUUCUUGGAUGGUUUGGGAGGAAAAGGCAUGGGUUUCUGAACCCAAGGUUCUCUUUCUUUACCAUGUUUCCUAGCAACAAAGUCUCUCUUAUCAUAAUGUUGAUUCUUUGAUUGUGGGUUAUCAAGAUCAACAGCAGGUUCAACUUCUACAUCAUUAUCAUUACUAGGUUGAGCAUCAUCAUGAACAUCAUUAUUAACAUUUUCAUUAGGUUCAUGUUCAUUACCAAAUUGUGUUUCAGCAUCAGAAAUAGAUAUAUCAUUUGGAUUCUCAGGUGGUUCAACAAUAGGUUCACUAGAAGUUUGCAAAGUCUUAUCAUUUUUCUUUUUCUUCCUUUUAGAAGAACUAGGUGCAUCAAUAGGGUGGCCUUCAGGAUACAAAGGUUCCUGAGUCAUUCUACCAGUUCUAGUAGCCACUCUAACAACAUAAUCAUUUUUCUUACUAUUCAUUUCAUUGAGCAAAUCAUUUUAAGCCUUAAGUACUUGUUCUUCUUGAGUGGUAACCAUAGAAGCAUGUUUACUAAUAAGUUUAAGUUCACCUCUAACAUUAGCCAUAUAAUCACCCAAGUGUUUAAUCAUAUAAGUAUUUUGUUUUAAUUGUCUACCAAAAUAGACAUUGAAGUCUUCUUGCUUAAAUAUAAAGUUAUCAAACUCAUCCAAGCACUGACUAGCAAUUUUAGUAGGAGGGACUUCAGCUUUAUCAUAUCUAUAGAGAGAAUUUACCUUUACUACCUGUGUCAGGUUAUCAAGACCUAGAGGUUCUUCAAUAGGUAAUGGAUUAGGAGCAUAAGUUUCUUCAACAGGCAGCAAAUUAAGACCAUGUAUUUCUUCAAUAGGAGGUAAAUUCUUAACAUUUUCAGCUUUAAUACCUUUUUCUUUCAUAUAUUUCUCUUCCUCUUGCAUAUCUUCAGGACUGAGAAAUAGAACACCUCUCUUCUUCGGAGUUGGUGCCCAAUUAUUUUCAUUUGUCAACAUAUUAUUCAAUAGAAUUUCAGCUUCAUACGGUGUUCUUUCCCUGAAAAGAGAACCAGCACAACUAUCCAGGUAAUCUCUGGAAGCAUCGGUUAGUCCAUUAUAAAAGAUAUCAAGUAUUUCAUUUUUCUUAAGAGGAUGAUCAAGUAAAGCAUUAAAUAACUUAGCAUCGCCCUUUAAUGAGAACGGAAAUAUUUUAAGAAUAUAAAAGUAGCGAUAUCUCUCAUCAUUAGUGAAUAGGGUGGCUAUAUCAUUUAUUUUAGUAAGAUGUGCCACAACAGUUUUAGAUUCAUAACCAUGAAAAGGAUCGGAUUCAACCAAAGUAAUUAUAUCAGGAUCAACAGAGAAUUCAUAAUCCUUAUCGGUAACACAGAUAGGUGAAGUAGCAAAAGCAGGGUCAGGUUUCAUUCUAUCUCUAAGAGAUUCCUUGCUCCAUUUAGCUAAUAACCUCUUUAGUUCAUAUCUAUCUUUGCAAGCUAAAAUAGCUAAAGAGGCUUCUUUAUCAAAAACAUAACCCUCAGGAAUAACAGGCAUAUCUUCAUCUUCACUUUCAUCAUCAAUAUCAGUUUCAAUAUUUUAUUUCUCUCUAGCCCUAGCAAUUUGUUCAUCAAGAAAUUCACUAAGGGGCACAGUAGUAUCAAUCAUAGAAGUAGUUUCAUCAUAAGUAUCAUGCAUAGCAGAAGUGGCAUCAUCAAUAACAUGCGACGUAUCAGAACGAAUAGCAGAAGCAGGUUUAGGCGUCGCAAGCUUACUCAUAACAGAAGGUGAAUCAAGUGCAGAGCUAGAUGGCAGUUCCUUACCUCCCCUCAUAGCUAUGCUCCCCGGCAACGGCGCCAGAAAUUAGUCUUGAUAACCCACAAGUGUAGGGGAUCGCAACAGCUUUCGAGGGUAGAGUAUUCAAUCCAAAUUUAUUGAUUCGACACAAGGGGAGCCAAAGAAUAUUCUCAAGUAUUAGCAACUGAGUUGUGAAUUCAGCCACACCUAGAUAACUUAAUAUCUGCGGCAAAGUAUUUAGUAGCAAAGUAAAAUGAUAGUGGUGGUAAUGGUAACAAAAGAGCAAUGAAAGUAAAAGCAAUAUUUUUGGUAUUUUGUAGUGAUUGUAACAAUAGCAACGGGAAAGUAAAUAAGUGUAAACCAGUAUAUGGAAAGCUCGUAGGCAUUGGAUCAGUGAUGGAUAAUUAUGUCGGGUGCGGUUCAUCAUGUAACAGUCAUAACCUAGGGUGACACAAAACUAGCUACAAUUCAUCAAUGUAAUGUAGGCAUGUAUUCCGAAUAUAGUCAUACGUGCUUAUGGAAAAGAACUUGCAUGACAUCUUUUGUCCUACCCUCCCGUGGCAGCGGGGUCCUAAUGGAAACUAAGGGAUAUUAAGGCCUCCUUUUAAUAGAGUAUUGGACCAAAGCAUUAACACAUAGUGAAUACAUGAACUCCUCAAACUACGGUCAUCACCCGGAGUGGUCCCGACUAUUGUCACUUCGGGGUUGCCGGAUCAUAACACAUAGUAGGUGACUAUAGACUUGCAAGAUAGGAUCAAGAACACACAUAUAUUCAUGAAAACAUAAUAGGUUCAGAUCUGAAUCAUGGCACUCGGGCCCUAGUGACAAGCAUUAAGCAUAGCAAAGUCAUAGCAACAUCAAUCUCAGAACAUAAUGGAUACUAGGGAUCAAACGCUAACAAAACUAACUCGAUUACAUGAUAAAUCUCGUCCAACCCAUCACCGUCCAGCAAGCCUACGAUGGAAUUACUCACGCACGACGGUGAGCAUCAUGAAAUUGGUGAUGGAGGAUGGUUGAUGAUGACGACGGCAACGAAUCCCCCUCUCCGGAGCCCCGAACGGACUCCAGAUCAGCCCUCCCGAGAGGUUUUAGGGCUUGGUGGCGGCUUCGUAUCGUCAAAUGCGAUGAUUUCUUCUCCCUGAUUUUUUCCUCCUCAAAAGCAAAUAUAUAGAGUUGGAGUUGGCGUCGGAGGAGCUCCAGGGGGCCCACGAGGUAGGGGGUGCCCUAGGGGGGGGGCACCCUCGUGGACAGGGUGUGGGCCCCCUAGUCUUCAUCUUUGGCGAGGAUUUUUUAUUAUUUUUUCUAAGAUGUUCCGUGGAGUUUCAGGUCAUUCCGAGAAUAUUUGUUUUCUGCACAUAAAACAACAUCAUGGCAAUUCUGCUGAAAACAACGUCAGUCCGGGUUAGUUCCAUUCAAUCAUCCAAGUCAGAGUCCAAAACAAGGGCAAAAGUGUUUGGAAAAGUAGAUACGACGGAGACGUAUCACACCGCAGCCGAACCAGUGAACCCUCGUACUCCUCUCCGCGUGGGCAUCCACUGCCGCGUCUUCCCCGGCUCCACGUCGUCCCCUUCCUAGGUCUCACCGUCGUCCACAGCCUUGGUGCUCUCGGUGCGGCGUGGUUAAUGUGGUCAACGACCGACUUCCAUCGGAAGAGUACUGUACGUUGAGAGACUGACAUCUGGUCCACGGCCACAACCCAGUUUUUUUGUGAUUUGCCAAGUAAGUCGCUUUAUCAGGCCUAUUGGGCUGCAAAUCUUUCAAGACGAGGAGAGCUUUCAUUCCGUUGGCCGAGAAAAUGGCCUAUCAAUAAUGAGAAAUGGGCCGUACAUUUUUAAAACACAUCAAACCGGCAAUUAGUUUCAAAUUUCUUUUUUUCAUUUCGAGAUUUUCAAUUGCAUUGAUUUUUAUGCGUGGACAAUUUGUUGGAUUUUAUAUUGAUAUCUAUUUAUUUUUAAAUUCAGUUUGAAAGUUUCUCGAAAUUUCGGGACUAAAAACAAUUUGGACCGCACCGAAAUAUGCAAAAUUUCGUAUAAUUUUUUAACCGUGGCCACAAUAUGGGCUGUAAUGCUAACAAAAAGAAUAUGAUCUCCAAAAAAACCUUAAGAAUUAGCAAAUGGGCUGUAAAUUAUUAGAAAUAAUGGCAGAUUGGUUGUAUGAUGUUUUCCACAGAUUUGAGGCUUUCCUAAAAAAAGGUUGACGCACAAGCAGUGACUGUUGGAUGUCCAUCCAAGGGCCGUCGUGCUUCUUCAAUCUCUGCUCUUCCUGCUCCAGCCGCUCAAAAAAGCGCCGGCGGGACUGCCUACUCUCUCCUCCCCGCGGUCGGCUGUGCUGCCGCGCAGGCCUCACCGCCCUACCAUACUCCCAUCGCUGGCCUAGCCAUCCCUCUACUCACCCACACCUGCUGUUAUUCUCCGGCGACGGUAGACGAACCAGUAAACCCUCGUACAGUCGUACUCCCCUCCGCGUGGGAAACAACUACCAAGUCUUCCCUGCCUCCAUGUCGUUCCCUUCCUAGGCCUCGAUGUCGUCCACCACCCUGGUGCUCUCGACGCAGCCUGGUCAACGUGGUCAACGACCGACAUGCAUCUGAAGUGGACUGUACGUGGAGAGGCUGACAACUAGGUCCACGGCCGCACGCAAGGAAAUGCCUCCUUAUUACGCACAAAAUAAUGAUUCCUCCACCUGACAUCUGGGACCCACCAAAAGGGCCUCUGUAUUUCGCGAAAAAAACGUUACCGCCGCUGACAGCUUGGACCCACCAGCUGUAUCUUCGCACGCAAGGAAGUUCCUCCUUAUUACGCAUAAAAAAAUGAAUACUCCCCCUGCUAACUGGGACCCAGUAUAGUGGCAGGCUGACUUGUGGGCCUACUAAGUUGACAGGGAUGGAGAGCUUUGUCAACUUAGUCAAUAUGCACGAUUCUAGCUCCAGUGGCCGUACGAUGUCCAUCCAACGGCCGUAGUGCUUCUUCAACCUCUGGUCUUCUUGCUCCAGCCGCCCAAACCAGCGCCGGUCGUGCCUCGUGCUCCUGCUUCCCAUGGCUGGCUGCGAUGUGGCGGAUGCCUCACUGCCCCCUACUACUCCCACAGCUAGCCAGGUCAUCCCUCUACUCACCCACACCCCCUGUUAUUCUGCGGUGCGGCAGCCUCACACCGCAGCGAACCAGUGAACCCUCGUACUCCUCUACGCGUGGGAAUCCACCGCCCUGGUGCUCUCGGCGCGGCGUGGUCAACGUGGUCAAGGAACGGCUUCCAUCGGACAUGGACUGUACGUUGAGAGGCUGACAGCUGGGUCCACGGCCGCAGCAAGGAAGUGCCUCCUUAUUACGCGUAAAAAAAUUAUUCCUCCACCUGUCAGCGGGGACCCACCGGACGGGCCAUCGUAUUUCACAAAAAACAUUUCCCCCUGACUGCUAGGACCCACAAGCAACAUCUUCGCACGCAAGGAAGUGCGUCCGGGCAAAAAAAACGAUUCGCCCCCUGACUGCUGGGACCCACCAGCUACAUCUUCACAGGCAAGGGAGUGCCUGACAGCCGGGACCCACCUGGUCGAAGCGUACGUAGUGUUGUCAUUCUGGUCGCGAACGUGUACGUACAUACUGGUUGAUGUAGAGGCGCGCACGUGUCGUAGUAGAGGCGCGCACGUACGUAGCAUGUACACACAUGUACAGCGGCCAGUGUGCAAGAAAGAAAAUAUGGCCACGUACGUACAUACGGGCAGGGUCUCGAACACCUACUCGCGCAUACGUAUGGCCAGGGCUCGUGUACAUGGCUGGGUCGGCACGAAGAAACUGCGUCGUCGUCGUGUUCAUGGGAGGCAACGGAAUGCGUCAUGUUCAUCGGGAGGCAACGGAACGCGUGGGAGCCAACCGGCUUGGACGGAACAGCCGAUGGAAACUGAAGGAAAUAUGCCCUAGAGGCAAUAAUAAAGUUAUUAUUUAUUUCCUCAUAUCAUGAUAAAUGUUUAUUAUUCAUGCUAGAAUUGUAUUAACCGGAAACAUGAUACAUGUGUGAAUACAUAGACAAAUAUAUAGUCACUAGUAUGCCUCUACUUGACUAGCUCAUUAAUCAAAGAUGGUUAUGUUUCCUAACCAUAGACAUGUGUUGUCAUUUGAUUAGUGGGAUCCCAUCAUUAGGAGAAUGAUGUGAUUGACAUGACCCAUUCUGUUAGCCUAGCACUUGAUCGUUUAGUAUAUUGCUAUUGCUUUCUUCAUGACUUAUACAUGUUCCUGUAACUAUGAGAAUUAUGCAACUCCCGUUUACCGGAGGAACACUUUGGGUACUACCAAACGUCACAACGUAACUGGGUGAUUAUAAAGGAGUACUACAGGUGUCUCCGAAGGUACAUGUUUAGUUGGCGUAUUUCGAGAUUAGGUUUUGUCACUCAGAUUGUCGGAGAGGUAUCUCUGGGCCCUCUCGGUAAUGCACAUCACUAUAAGCCUUGCAAGCAAUGUGACCAAUGAGUUGGUUACGGGAUGAUGCAUUACAUAACGAGUAAAGAGACUUGCCGGUAACGAGAUUGAACUAGGUAUUGGAUACCGACGAUCAAAUCUCGGGCAAGUAACAUACCGAUGACAAAGGGAACAACGUAUGUUGUUAUGCGGUUUGACCGAUAAAGAUCUUCGUAGAAUAUGUAGGAACCAAUAUGGGCAUCCAGGUUCCGCUAUUGGUUAUUGACCGAGAAUAGUUCUAGGUCAUGUCUACAUAGUUCUCGAACCCGUAGGGUCCGCACGCUUAACGUUACGAUGACAGUUUUAUUAUGAGUUUAUAAGUAUUGAUGUACCGAAGUUUGUUCGGAGUCCCAGAUGUGAUCACGGACAUGACGAGGAGUCUCGAAAUGGUCGAGACAUAAAGAUUGAUAUAUUGGACGACUAUAUUCGGACACCGGAAGUGUUCCGGGUGAUUUCGGAGAAAACCGGAGUGCCGAAGGGGUUACCAGAACCCCCCGGGAGAGUUAAUGGGCCACAUGGGCCUUGGUGGAAGAGAGAGGGGCGGCCAGGGUGGGCCGCGCGCCCCCUCUCCCUCUGGUCCGAAUUGGACUAGGAGGGGGGCGGCGCCCCCCUCUUUCCUUCCCCCCUCUCCCGCGUCCUUCCCCUCCUAGUAGGAGUAGGAAAGGAGGAGUCCUACUCCUACUAGGAGGAGGACUCCUCCUCCUGGCGCGCCCCCCUUGGGCCGGCCGACCUCCCCCCUUGCUCCUUUAUAUACGGGGGCAGGGGGGCACCCCAUAGACACACAAGUUGAUCUACGGAUCGUUCCUUAGCCGUGUGCGGUGCCCCCCUCCACCAUAUUCCACCUCGGUCAUAUCGUCGCGGAGUUUAGGCGAAGCCCUGCGCCGGUAGAACAUCAUCAUCGUCACCAUGCCGUCGUGCUGACGGAACUCAUCUCCGGAGCUUUGCUGGAUCGGAGGCCGGAGAUCGUCAUCGAGCUGAACGUGUGCUGAACUCGGAGGCCCCGUACGUUCGGUGCUUGGAUCGGUCGGAUCGUGAAGACGUACGACUACAUCAACCGCGUUGUGCUAACGCUUCCGCUUACCGUCUACGAGGGUACGUGGACACACACUCUCCCCUCUCGUUGCUAUGCCAUCACCAUGAUCUUGCAUGGGCGUAGGAAAAUUUUUGAAAUUACUAUGUUCCCCAACAGUGGCAUCCGAGCCUAGGUUUUAUGCAUUGAUGUUAUAUGCACGAGUAGAACACAAGUGAGUUGUGGGCGAUACAAGUCAUACUGCUUACCAGCAUGUCAUACUUUGGUUCGGCGGUAUUGUGAGAUGAAGCGGCCCGGACCGACAUUACGCGUACGCUUACGCGAGACUGGUUUCACCGUUACGAGCACUCGUGCUUAAAGGUGGUUGGCGAGUGUCUGUCUCUCUCACUUUAGCUGAAUCGAGUGUGGCUACGCCUGGUCCUUGCGAAGGUUAAAACGGCACCAACUUGACGAACUAUCGUUGUGGUUUUUGAUGCGUAGGUAAGAACGGUUCUUGCUCAGCCCGUAGCAGCCACGUAAAAUUUGCAACAACAAAGUAGAGGACGUCUAACUUGUUUUUGCAGGGCAUGUUGUGAUGUGAUAUGGUCAAGACGUGAUGCUAUAUUUUAUUGUAUGAGAUGAUCAUGUUUUGUAACCGAAGUUAUCGGCAACUGGCAGGAGCCAUAUGGUUGUCGCUUUAUUGUAUGAAAUGCAAACGCCCUGUAAUUGCUUUACUUUAUCACUAAGCGGUAGCGAUAGUCGUAGAAGCAAUAGAUGGCGUAACGACAACGAUGCUACGAUGGAGAUCAAGGUGCCGCGCCGGUGACGAUGGUGAUCAUGACGGUGCUUCGAAGAUGGAGAUCACAAGCACAAGAUAAUGAUGGCCAUAUCAUAUCACUUAUAUUGAUUGCAUGUGAUGUUUAUCCUUUAUGCAUCUUAUCUUGCUUUGAUUGACGGUAGCAUUUUAAGAUGAUCUCUCACUAAUAAUCAAGAAGUGUUCUCCCUGAGUAUGCACCGUUGCGAAAGUUCUUCGUGCUGAGACACCACGUGAUGAUCGGGUGUGAUAGGCUCUACGUUCAAAUACAACGGGUGUAAAACAGUUGCACACGCGGAAUACUCAGGUCAUACUUGACGAGCCUAGCAUAUACAGAUAUGGCCUCGGAACACAGAGACCGAAAGGUCGAGCGUGAAUCAUAUAGUAGAUAUGAUCAACAUAGUGAUGUUCACCAUUGAAACUACUCCAUCUCACAUGAUGAUCGGACAUGGUUUAGUUGAUUUGGAUCACGUGAUCACUUAGAUGACUAGAGAGAUGUCUGUCUAAGUGGGAGUUCUUUAGUAAUAUGAUUAAUUGAACUUAAAUUUAUCAUGAACUUAGUACCUGAUAGUAUUUUGCUUGUCUAUGUUUGUUUGUAGAUAGAUGGCUCGUGUUGUUAUUCCAUUGAAUUUUAAUGCGUUCCUUGAGAAAGCAAAGUUGAAAGAUGAUGGUAGCAAUUACACGGACUGGGUCCGUAACCCGAGGAUUAUCCUCAUUGCUGCACAGAAAAGUUACGUCCUGGAAGCACCGCUGGGUGCCAGGCCUGCUGCUGAUGCAACUGACGACGUUACGAAUGUCUGGCAGAGCAAAGCUGAUGACUACUCGAUAGUUCAGUGUGCCAUGCUUUACGGCUUAGAACCGGGUCUUCAACGAUGUUUUGAACGUCAUGGAGCAUAUGAGAUGUUCCAGGAGUUGAAGUUAAUAUUUCAAGCAAAUGCCCGGAUUGAGAGAUAUGAAGUCUCCAAUAAGUUCUACAGCUGCAAGAUGGAGGAGAAUAGUUCUGUCAGUGAACACAUACUCAAAAUGUCUGGGUAUAAUAAUCACUUAAUUCAACUGGGAGUUAAUCUUCCUGAUGAUAGUGUCAUUGACAGAAUUCUCCAAUCACCGCCACCAAGCUACAAGAGCUUCGUGAUGAACUAUAAUAUGCAAGGGAUGAACAAGACUAUUCCCGAGCUCUUCCCAAUGCUAAAAGCCGCGAAGGUAGAAAUCAAAAAGGAGCAUCAAGUGUUGAUGGUUAACAAGACCACCAGUUUCAACAAAAAGGGCAAAGGAAAGAAGAAGGGGAACUUCAAAAAGAACAGCAAGAAAGUUGUUGCUCAAGAGAAGAAACCCAAGUCUGGACCUAAGCCUGAAACUGAGUGCUUCUAUUGCAAGCAGACUGGACACUGGAAGCGGAACUGCCCCCAAGUAUUUGGCGGAUAAGAAGGAUGGCAAAGUGAACAAAGGUAUAUGUGAUAUACAUGUUAUUGAUGUGUACCUUACUAAUGCUCGCAGUAGCACCUGGGUAUUUGAUACUGGUUUUGUUGCUAAUAUUUGCAACUCGAAACAGGGACUACGGAUUAAGCGAAGAUUGGCUAAGGACGAGGAGACGAUGCGCGUGGGAAAUGGUUCCAAAGUCGAUGUGAUCGCGGUCGGCACGCUACCUCUACAUCUACCAUCGGGAUUAGUUUUAGACCUAAAUAAUUGUUAUUUGGUGCCAGCGUUGAGCAUGAACAUUAUAUCUGGAUCUUGUUUGAUGUGAGACGGUUAUUCAUUUAAAUCAGAGAAUAAUGGUUGUUCUAUUUAUAUGAGUAAUAUCUUUUAUGGUCAUGCACCCUUGAAGAGUGGUCUAUUUUUAUUGAAUCUCGAUAGUAGUGAUACACAUAUUCAUAGUGUUGAAACCAAAAGAUGCAGAGUUGAUAACGAUAGUGCAACUUAUUUGUGGCACUGCCGUUUAGGUCAUAUCGGUGUAAAGCGCAUGAAGAAACUCCAUACUGAUGGGCUUUUGGAAUCACUUGAUUAUGAAUCACUUGGUACUUGCGAACCGUGCCUCAUGGGCAAGAUGACUAAAACGCCGUUCUCCGGAACUAUGGAGCGAGCAACUGAUUUGUUGGAAAUCAUACAUACAGAUGUUUGUGGUCCAAUGAAUGUUGAGGCUCGCGGCGGGUAUCGUUAUUUUCUCACCUUCACAGAUGAUUUGAGCAGAUAUGGUAUAUCUACUUGAUGAAACACAAGUCUGAAACAUUUGAAAAGUUCAAAGAAUUUCAGAGUGAAGUGGAAAAUCAUCGUAACAAGAAAAUAAAAUUUCUAUGAUCCGAUCGUGGACGAGAAUAUUUGAGUUACGAGUUUGGCCUACACUUGAAACAAUGCGGAAUAGUUUCGCAACUCACGCCACCCGGAACACCACAACGAAAUGGUGUGUCCGAAUGUCGUAAUCGUACUUUACUAGAUAUGGUGUGAUCUAUGAUGUCUCUUACUGAUUUACCGCUAUCAUUUUGGGGUUAUGCUUUAGAGACGGCAGCAUUCACGUUAAAUAGGGCACCAUCAAAAUCCGUUAAGACGACGCCUUAUGAACUGUGGUUUGGCAAGAAACCAAAGUUGUCGUUUCUUAAAUUUUGGGGAUGCGAUGCUUAUGUGAAGAAACUUCAACCAGAUAAGCUCGAACCCAAAUCGGAGAAAUGUGUCUUCAUAGGAUACCCAAAAGAGACUAUUGGGUACACCUUCUAUCACAGAUCUAAGGGCAAGAUUUUCGUUGCUAAAAUCGGAUCCUUUCUAGAGAAGGAGUUUCUCUUGAAAGAAGUGAGUGGGAGGAAAGUAGAACUUGAUGAGAUAACUGUAUCUACUCCCUUAUUGGAAAGUAGUUCAUCACAAGAACCGGUUCCUGUGACGACUACACCAAUUAGUGAGGAAGCUAAUGAUAUUGAUCAUGAAACUUCAGAUCAAGUUUCUACUGAACCUCGUAGGUCUACCAGAGUAAGAACCGCACCAGAGUGGUACGGUAAUCCUAUUCUGGAAGUCGUGUUACUUGACCAUGAUGAACCUACGAACUAUGAGGAAGCGAUGAUGAGCCCAGAUUCCGCAAAAUGGCUAGAGGCUAUGAAAUCUGAGAUGGGAUCCAUGUAUGAAAACAAAGUAUGGACUUUGGUUGACUUGCCCGUUGAUCGGCAAGCCAUUGAGAAUAAAUGGAUCUUUAAGAAGAAGACUGACGCUGAUGGUAAUGUAACUGUCUAUAAAGCUCGACUUGUUGCGAAAGGUUUUCAACAAGUUCAAGGGGUUGACUACGAUGAGACUUUCUCACCCGUAGCGAUGCUUAAGUCUGUCCGAAUCAUGUUAGCUAUUGCUGCAUUUCAUGAUUAUGAAAUUUGGCAAAUGGAUGUCAAAACUGCAUUCUUGAAUGGAUUUCUGGAAGAAGAGUUGUAUAUGAUGCAGCCAGAAGGUUUUGUUGAUCCAAAAGGUGCAAACAAAGUAUGCAAGUUCCAGCGAUCCAUUUAUGGACUGGUGCAAGCAUCUCGGAGUUGGAAUAAAAGUUUUGAUAGUGUAAUCAAAGCAUAUGGUUUUAUACAGACUUUUGGAGAAGCCUGUAUUUACAAGAAAGUGAGUGGGAGCUCUGUAGCAUUUCUGAUAUUAUAUGUAGAUGACAUAUUAUUAAUCGGAAAUAAUAUAGAAUUUCUGGAUAGCACAAAGGGAUACUUGAAUAAAAGUUUUUCAAUGAAAGACCUCGGUGAAGCUGCUUACAUAUUGGGCAUCAAGAUCUAUAGAGAUAGAUCAAGGCGCUUAAUAGGACUUUCACAAAGCACAUACCUUGACAAAAUUUUGAAAAAGUUCAAAAUGGAUCAGGCAAAGAAAGGGUUCUUGCCCGUGCUACAAGGUGUGAAGUUGAGUCAAACUCAAUGCCCGAUCACAGCAGAAGAUAGAGAGAAAAUGAAAGAUGUUCCCUAUGCUUCAGCCAUAGGCUCUAUCAUGUAUGCAAUGUUGUGUACCAGACCUGACGUAUGCUUAGCAAUAAGCUUGGCAGGAAGGUACCAAAGUAAUCCAGGAGUGGAUCACUGGACAGCGGUCAAGAACAUCCUGAAAUACCUAAAAAGGACUAAGGAUAUGUUUCUCGUAUAUGGAGGUGACAAAGAGCUAGUCAUAAAUGGUUACGUCGAUGCAAGCUUUGACACUGAUCCGGACGAUUCUAAAAUCGCAAACCGGAUACGUGUUUUUAUUAAACGGUGGAGCUGUAAGUUGGUGCAGUUCUAAACAAAGCGUCGUGGCGGGAUCUACAUGUGAAGCGGAGUACAUAGCUGCUUCUAAAGCAGCAAAUGAAGGAGUCUGGAUGAAGGAGUUCAUUUCCGAUCUAGGUGUCAUACCUAGUGCAUCCGGACCAAUGAAGAUCUUCUGUGACAAUACUCGUGCAAUUGCCUUGGCAAAGGAAUCCAGAUUUCACAAGAGGACCAAGCACAUCAAGAGACGCUUCAAUUCCAUUCGGGACCAAGUCCAAGUGGGAGACAUAGAGAUUUGCAAGAUACAUACGGAUCUGAAUGUUGCAAACCCGUUGACUAAGCCUCUCUCACGAGCAAAACAUGAUCAGCACCAAGACUCCAUGGGUGUUAGAAUCAUUACUAUGUAAUCUAUAUUAUUGACUCUAGUGCAAGUGGGAGACUAAAGGAAAUAUGCCCUAGAGGCAAUAAUAAAGUUAUUAUUUAUUUCCUCAUAUCAUGAUAAAUGUUUAUUAUUCAUGCUAGAAUUGUAUUAACCGGAAACAUGAUACAUGUGUGAAUACAUAGACAAACAUAUAGUCACUAGUAUGCCUCUACUUGACUAGCUCAUUAAUCAAAGAUGGUUAUGUUUCCUAACCAUAGACAUGUGUUGUCAUUUGAUUAGUGGGAUCACAUCAUUAGGAGAAUGAUGUGCUCGACAUGACCCAUUCCGUUAGCCUAGCACUUGAUCGUUUAGUAUAUUGCUAUUGCUUUCUUCAUGACUUAUACAUGUUCCUGUAACUAUGAGAAUUAUGCAACUCCCGUUUACCGGAGGAACACUUUGGGUACUACCAAACAUCACAACAUAACUGGGUGAUUAUAAAGGAGUACUACAGGUGUCUCCGAAGGUACAUGUUGAGUUGGCGUAUUUCGAGAUUAGGUUUUGUCACUCCGAUUGUCGGAGAGGUAUCUCUGGGCCCUCUCGGUAAUGCACAUCACUAUAAGCCUUGCAAGCAAUGUGACCAAUGAGUUGGUUACGGGAUGAUGCAUUACGUAACGAGUAAAGAGACUUGCCGGUAACGAGAUUGAACUAGGUAUUGGAUACCGACGAUCAAAUCUCGGGCAAGUAACAUACCGAUGACAAAGGGAACAACGUAUGUUAUUAUGCGGUUUGACAGAUAAAGAUCUUCGUAGAAUAUGUAGGAACCAAUAUGGGCAUCCAGGUUCCGCUAUUGGUUAUUGACCGAGAAUAGUUCUAGGUCAUGUCUACAUAGUUCUCGAACCCGUAGGGUCCGCACGCUUAACAUUACGAUGACAGUUUUAUUAUGAGUUUAUAAGUAUUGAUGUACCGAAGUUUGUUCGGAGUCCCAGAUGUGAUCACGGACAUGACGAGGAGUCUCGAAAUGGUCGAGACAUAAAGAUUGAUAUAUUGGACGACUAUAUUCGAACACCGGAAGUGUUCCGGGUGAUUUCGAAGAAAACCGGAGUGAUGGAGGGGUUACCGGAACCCCCCGGGAGAGUUAAUGGGCCACAUGGGCCUUGGUGGAAGAGAGAGGGGCGGCCAGGGUGGGCCGCGCGCCCCCUCUCCCUCUGGUCUGAAUUGGACUAGGAGGGGGGCGCCCCCCUCUUUCCUUCCCCCCUCUCCCCCUUCCUUCCCCUCCUAGUAGGAGUAGGAAAGGAGGAGUCCUACUCCUACAAGAAGGAGGACUCCUCCUCCUGGCGUGCCCCCCUUGGGCCGGCCGGCCUCCCCCCUUGAUCCUUUAUAUACGGGGGCAGGGGGGCACCCCAUAGACACACAAGUUGAUCUACGGAUCGUUCCUUAGCUGUGUGUGGUGCCCCCCUCCACCAUAUUCCACCUCGGUCAUAUCGUCGCGGAGUUUAGGCGAAGCCUUGCGCUGGUAGAACAUCAUCAUCGUCACCAUGCCGCCGUGCUGACGGAACUCAUCUCCGGAGCUUUGCUGGAUCGGAGGCCGGAGAUCGUCAUCGAGCUGAACGUGUGCUGAACUCGGAGGCCCCGUACGUUUGGUGCUUGGAUCGGUCGGAUCAUGAAGACGUACGACUACAUCAACCGCGUUGUGCUAACGCUUCCGCUUACGGUCUACGAGGGUACGUGGACAUACACUCUCCCCUCUCGUUGCUAUGCCAUCACCAUGAUCUUGCGUGUGCGUAGGAAAUAUUUUGAAAUUACUACGUUCCCCAACAGAAACGAGGCCUGGCGUACCACAAAACAGAGGAAACGGCUUUGUGUUCGAUCGGCCACGGUCGAAACGGGAUCCUGUUCAUCGGGAGGGGUCUGGCGUACCGCAAAACGUAGGAAAUGGACCUCCUACGGUCGAAACAGGGGUCCUGUUGAUCGGGGGGGUGGCGUACCGCAAAACGGAGGAAACGGACUUGUGUUGGAGCGCUACGGUCGAAACGGGGGUCUUGUUCAUCGGGAGGGGUGUGGCGUACCGCAAAACGGGACUCCACGGACUACUAUUCAUCUCCACGGUUGACCCCCUCCAGCCUCCACAGGCUACUGUUCAUCCACCGUCGACCUCCUCUAGCCUCCACCUGCGACUGUUCAUCCACGGGCUCCUGUUCAUCCAGCCUCCACCGCGCGCUACUCCACCGGCUACUGUUCAACCAGCCCUCUCCACGGGCUCCUGUUCAACCACCCCUCCACGGGCUACUGUUCAUCCAGCCCUCCACCGUCUACUAUUCAUCCAGCCCUCCACGGGGUGGUCAUGUUCAUCCUGCCCUCCACGGGGUCCUGUUCAUCCAGCCCCAACCGGCUCGAUCGAUCGGGGUCCUGUUCAUCCAGAGGCAACACCACGGGGUCCUGUUCAUCCACCCCCACCGGGAACUGUUCAUCCAAACCCCCCAGCAACGCUCACUGUUCAUCCAUAGGCAGCAUCGAUCGGCUUCAGUUAGCAGCAGUAGCGAAGGAAUCGCUCGAUCGGGUUCAGUUAACAGCCAUCGAUCGAUUGCUCGGGUUCAGUAACGCGUAGCCUGCAGUGCAAUCGCUCGGGUUCAGUUAGAGCCCAACGCCUUGCUCGGGUUCAGUUAGAGCCCAACACCUCGCACCCACGCGCGUGCGUGUACGAGAGAAACGCGCAUCGCUCGGCCCCGACCACCCACCCUAACCAGGAACACUCCGAUAUUUUCCUCGCCCUCGCUUCUACCAAAGAAUGUCAUGCAGCUAUGUCUCCGACCCGCCCAGGACGAAAAGCCCAUUUUCUGUCAUGAUUUUUUGUCAUAGAAGUAGGACCCCACCACAUAUAUGAUGAUACCGGGUUUUGUCACAAUUAUCGUCAUAGAAGUAUCAUAAGUAUGACAGAAAAAAAUUCGUUCGGCCCAAAAUGUCACGGAUGUGUCUUUUUUUGUAGUGCCUGACUCCAUCUCCUGGCGCCUGGAGCCAUCUGGCCGCUUCUCCACUAAGUCCCUAUACGCGGCAAUCGCCCCCCUCGUUGGCCCCUGAGCCCUUUAGCUUGAUUUGGGGCCUACCUCUGAAGAUUAGGAUCUUCUUGUGGCAGUGGAUCCGAGGACGCCUUCCCUCUGGGCUUGAGGUCCUCAAGCGCAAUGGACCGGGAGAUGAGAUGUGCCCCCUAUGCGGCACGGUGGAGGAUUCUAACCACAUCUUCUUUUCCUGCUCCACCGCCCAAUUCCUGUGGUCCUGCUUCCGCGAGACGGUUGGUGGACAGUGGUGCAACACCAACUUUCUCGACCAGGUUGCAGAGAUCCACGCCGCUCCUCCUCGCUACCGCCAUAUUAUAUGGUUGUGCGUUGGAGUCCUCGCCUGGACGCUUCGGACCAUCCGCAACAAGCUCGGUAUUUAGAAAGUGCCCCUUCGACGUGCGACUGACGCAAUCUUCAAAAUGUGUGGUUACUUGCAGCUCUGGUGGUCGCUUAGCCGCCCUCAGGACUGGGACGCCAUCAACACCCUCCUCGUCGACCUUCGCUCGAUGGCCUUCCGCAUGGCACCUCCGCUGCCGCCCCCUCCUCCGAUGCCCGAUUGAGCCUGCUACAUGUGGCGCUGUUCGUGUGUGUGUUGUGUUUUCUGGGCUUGUUGAGCUGUGCCCUCAGCAUUGAACCUUGUACUCUUGUUGGGGUGUGACCCCUGUGUGUGUGCGUGGUACGUGAACUUUGUUGGAUGUUUGGCUCGGGCGGUUUGCUUUAUAAUAUAAAGCGGGGCGAAAGCCUUUUUGAGUAAAGUCUGGUCUCAGCAGAUUAAAAAACAGUUUUGUCUCUCUGUCUCCAUGUGAACACCUAAUGUUUUUUUUGAAAUAGAGGCAAAAGACUUGCCUCAUUCAUUAAUAAAGAAGGAGAGUUUUAGAGUACAUAAUAGUGGCUCCACAACAUAGCCCGUCCGUCAGCAAAAUGAAAACAAUAACUACUCUCGCGGCAUGAUAAUGCUCAUGUGCGUAGCUCCUGCCGUGACCCAAAGUUUGGCUUCAUCUUGGAUUAGUUUUAGAAUGUAGAAGGGCGGCGUUGAUUUCUUCCUAAAAACUCUAGCGUUUCUCUCGUUCCAAAUGGCCCAACCAACAAGCAUAGUAAGGGAAGCCAUGGCCUUCCGGUUCGCCGUAUUGGGCUUCGACAUGUUUGUCCACCAAUGUUUGAUAUUGCGCUCCGCCUGCCAUUGAUGGAUCUCGAGAGCCCCUAGGCCAAGCCACUCCUUUACCAAUCUCCACACGCGCAAGGUGAACCUGCACCGAAAGAAGAGGUGCGCGGACGUCUCGUUUGCCCUUCUGCAGAGGGUGCACAGUCCGCCAUUCUCCCAACCUCGCUUCUCCAAUCUAUCCGCCGUCCAUAUUCUGUUUUGAAUCGCUAGCCAGGAGAAGAACUUGACCUUGGGAGGUGCCCAAACCUUCCAAAUAUUCUUGUUCAUGGUCGUCGUCAUGGAGCCCAAGAACUGGACCCUAUAAGCAGAGGCCGCCGAAUACUCACCGUUCGCCUCAAAUUUCCAGGAUAUGUCGUCAUCAAUCUCUGGUGAAAGCUCGAAUUGGUCCAGAUGGACCCAAAGGUCCACGAACUCCACGAUGUGGUUGGUCGUUAGGUUGAUGGAAGGGUUGAUCUGGCGCACUCAAGCAUUGUCUCGCAGUGCAUCCCUCACCACCCACUUCUUCCGCUUGGAGGCUGCGAAGAUGAGGGCGGCGAUAUCCUUCGGUUUUUUCCCUCUCAACCAUGGUGCCUCCCAGAAGGUCGUCUUCCCUCCAUUUCCCACGGUGAUGACGGUGGAGGCGUAGAAGAGGUCCAUAUCCACCUCAGAGCACGGGUUUCCCAAGCCCACCCACAAUCUAGUCGGGUCCUUCCACUCCACCCAUGGCCAUCUCAACCUUAGAGCUCUUGCAAAUUUCCCCAAGUGUAGGACUCCAAGCCCGCCGAGAUGCGUAGGGCGGCAAACAGUCUCCCAGUUGACCUUGCAUUUUGCACCUGAAGUUUGACUCUGAGCUGACCAGAGGAAAGCACGCUCAAUUCUAUUGACAUUGUGUAGCACACCGGCGGGGACGUUCAGGGAUGUGAUGUGGUAGAUGACUUGAGAAGUGAGGACCGAUUUGACCAAGGCCGCCCGGCCAAUUGUGGUGAUGUUUCUCCCUUGCCAAGGAGGGAGCUUCGCAGCCACCUUGUCCUCAAGGUGUUGGAAGUCCACCCUUUUCAGCUGCCAAAUGGAUAACGGGAGGCCCAGGUACUUCAAUGGGAAAGAAGUUCGUGAGGCGGGCAGGCUGUGGAGUAUGUCGUCAAGGUUUAGGUUGCCACAGCGAAUUGCGACGACAGAGCUCUUCUGAAAGUUGGUGGACAGACCGGUGACCCCUCCAAAUGCACUAAGGAUGGCCGCAAGGUUGGCCACAUCUUCCCGUGAAGGGGAGAUGAAGAUCGCCGCAUCGUCGGCAUACAGGGAGGUACGGACAGUAGAUCCACGGCCUCGAAUUUUCUGGAGCAGGUUGUGACUUGUGGCAAUGUCGAGGAGCUGCUGUAAGGGGUCGAUCGCGAGGACAAAGAGAAGGGGUGAAAGGGGGUCCCCUUGUCUGAGCCCUCGUCCAUGGUAGAUGGCGGGCCCGGCAAUACCGUUGAGGAGGACGCGCGAAGAGGACGUGCAUAAGAGGGCCGCCACCCAAUCCCAAAAGCGGACUGGAAAUCCCAACCGGCGGAGUAGGUCAAGGAUGUACUCCCAUCACACCGAGUCAAAGGCCUUCCGGAUAUCCAACUUGAAGAGCAAGGAUGGAGUUCUGUUUCUGUGGAGACGUCGCGCGAGGUUUCUCACAUACAUGAAGUUGUCGUGGAUGCUCCGUUUCUUGAUGAAAGCACUCUGCGCAGUGGAGACAAGGUUGUUCAUGAAAGGGCCAAGGCGGGACGCCAACACCUUGGCGAUGAUUUUAGCAAUGUGAAGGAGAACAAAAGAGCAGUUGGACGAAAGAAAGGAAAAAUACUCAGAGUGGGCUCCAGCUUACGGCUGAGAUGGGGACUUAAACAUUGCAUGUAUUAUUACCAGUGGGCCUAAUCAAGCCUUGGAGACGCCUAAUCAAGUACACGCCGAGACGAGUUGACCCGAGAGGCACAAAUCACUUGCUGCUUCUCUCCUUCGUCUUCGGCUCUCUAAGGCGACUACUACCGGUCUGCAGCGGCGACAUCGCCAAAGGUACUCUUCCUCCUCGAUCUUCUGUUAAACUAUUUUGUUUCAGCUAGCUCUCUUCGUUUUUUUCGGUCUUUGUGAUUUUGAUGUGGAUCUGUGAUGUGCAGAGUUCGGUCUGUUCAACACUCGCUCAGCAGAGAGCUUUGCGAACUGGAGGUGAAGAGUUGCUGUCCCGUGCUCGGGAUCCUCUUCUUCAACUUGCGCUCUUGAUCGACCAAAGCCAGGUGAUGCUUUUUCUCAUCAUUACAGCCAGGGGCGGAGCCAGCAUAGGAGCGUUGGGUUCAGUUGAACCCAACGAUUUUUCCUGGCCAAGUAUCGCAAUACACGUACGUAUGUGGAUGAACCCAACAAAAAGUAUGUGUUGAACCCAUCAACAUGGUACUCAACGCUUAGUGAGAAGCCCAAAAGCCCACAAACGAAUCACCUCCAUGCUAGCCUGCUAGGCCUGUUCGUGUCUUCCUUCCCCUAUUCCUCUCAUCCUCUCAUUUUGUUUCCUUAUGGCAGCCGCAGCCCGCAUCUUUCCGUUUGCUUCCUUGAUUCUGCGAUCUGCCCUCUCCUGUUCGCAUCCAGCGACGAGCCGACAUGGGUAGGUCGGCAGUAGCGAGACUGUCAGCUACUGUAGACCAAAUUCGUGGUAUUGAGUCGCAUCAUCGUAUCUCCUUUCUAUUGUGGACGUCCUAAUUUUCUAAUUAUUUAUUUCAUGUAUUUUGAUUGAACUAGGCUAUCGAUCGGUAUUUCUGGAAGAGAAAUUGAUCACAGACAGAUAAUGAUGCUAACGCAUCAAGAUCACCCCUUCACAGAGAAAUUAUUUUAGAUGAGUUUCCUAUGAUCCAACCGGUAUGGCAUGCACACUUCAGUUAAUAAUGUAGCACAACAUUGGAUAAGUGCUAUCAUAUCGAAUAUUGCUUAAUGAAGCCUAGUAUAUUCAAAAAAUAGUAAAUAAAUAAAAUAGAAAACUGAAAUUUCUGGACGUCCUCAAAGAUGGUGAAUUGUUCUAUGUGGAUGCAAAAUUUCCAUCCAAGAUGACUUUCGUUGUGCUUUAUACACAAAAUUUAAUCAAUGCUCCAAAGUAUAUUUUCGAAGCUCUUUCAGAUGCCCUAUUUUAUUUAUUUUGUCAAGAGCUCCUGCAGUAUAAAUUGCCAUGAAAUAUUACAAGUACUUAGUAUUAUUGGGCAUGUUCGAUGGAUAUAAUAUAGGUUUUUUCCGAAUUUACUGUUCACACUAGGUGUAGAUGAACUCGAGCUCGAAAAGGUUGACCUCGUGUCAUAUUUCUAUUUGUUAGGUUGUUUUUUUAGUGUUAUACUAUUGUUGUAAUAUGGUCUAGAAUUAGAGUUUACACUUAAUUAAUUCCUACCAAGUUCUUAUAACGAGUCAGUGAGUGAACCCAAUGGCAAAAAUUUCUGGCUCCGCCCCUGAUUACAGCCGUGUUUGUAUUCGUGUGUGUAGAUCGAGAGCAAGGAUAGGGACAGCUUUUGCUCGAUCUGUUCUUCCCUCGUCAAUCUCUUGUAGCUCAAGUGGGGGAGCUACGAAGACUUUUGCUUGGUGCAACGCUCAGAGUACAUCUAAACUGCUAUGUGGUCAGAUUUUUUUUUUUUGAACUUAUGUGGUCAGAUUUUUUUUGUUUACUUUUCCUAAUUUUAGGAGAGAUCUUUUACGGUACCCCGAAAUAAAUAUAGACCUAAAUUUCUCUUGAUCCACUGGACAGUAUUACUUGGUACUCCAUCACUCAUCCAACGGAGUACUAAGUUAAAAACUACAGGAGUACCUUGAUCUAAGGGGCAAAACCGUAAUAAUAUAACAAUCUAAUAUUAUUUCAUUUUCGUUCCUCGUAACCUCCAUGUAUUCUGGCGUCUUUUUUUCCAAUUGAAGCAAAACCUAGUAUAUUUGAUCUGCACGUAGCGUCCGGAGAUGCCGGGAUGAGCCCAUGCCGGCGGGGUAUGCACGUCCUUCGUGGGUGAGUAGCGGGAACUAGGAAAGCAUCCGCGUCGGGGAUGAGCCGGAGCAAGACUUAUGUCAUGCAGCCGCCGGACCUAUUUCCUCGACCGUGGCGCAAUACUAGGGUUGGCCGGUGGCGGCUCGACUGGAUAUGCCAUACGGGCGACGCAUCGGAGCCGACGAUCGGUGUGGAGAAGGUACCGUGGCCUGCGGUAGAGAAGGAUCAGGCUCGAGGUGACGCCGCCACUCCAUUGUGAUGCACCGAGCGAUCGGGAUUUCUGGCCGAACGAACGCGAGUUUUUUCUGGCACUCGAUUUGCAGUUUCUUUUUUCUUUUGGGAGCUAUUUGGCAUCUAUGCACGAUCACAGGGAGAAAAUUGGAAGUACCCGUGGGAAAAUGACUAAGUUACCCUUUACAACGGACGGCUGGAUUUGUUCGGUACUAGAGUACAUGUUUUGGGAGUACCAGGGUAAGCAACACCAAACAAGGCACUUGUCCAAGUUGUAAACAAGCUAAGAUUGAUAAGUAGUAGUGCACUUUGGUCACCAAGAACAUCCCCAUAUUUGACCGAAAAUGAUUUACCCUAAUACUAACUUCAAGUUCAUCGAAAUCUUGAAAAUCGCAUGGGACCGUGGGAUGCGGUGCUGCUAAUGGACUGGGAUACCGAUCACCGGCCAGUACAUUGGUAUAUUUUUGGUUGUUGCAAAAAUUAUGGGCAGGCCACAGCCUGGUUCAACCUCUAUAUAUGCAGUAGCUGCACUUGUGGUUGCUACUCCAUUGAUUUGAAAGGUAAUGCAUUUGGGAGCUGUUACGUUCACGAACCAAAAAUAUACAGCUUUUGCUCAUCCGGUGGUUCCUAUUAGAGCCGUGCGUGUAGAUCCAGAGCUCUUGCUCGAUCUGUUUCUCCCCUCUUUAAUCUCUUGUUGCUAUUUUUUUACUGUAUAAUUGUAUUACAGUAAAAGUGUUUAAAUAUGUACAUUAGGAAAAAGAUAAAGGAAUAAGAUAAAAUAAAGCAAAGAGAAAAAAUGGUCAGUGGCCAGAGCUUAGUAUAUCUAUCCAUGUUCUGAGGGAUGCUGCAUUUUUUCUUUUCACUCUGUUCAGCUUUUCCAAACAAACAGAUCAUGCUUUACCAAACCAAUUAGUAUCUGAAAACAAUUAGUAGGUCCAGUUUUUCCAAAUAAAAUCAGAUCAUGCUUUUCCAAACAAAUUAGUACAGGGAGCUGUUGCUUUCAAGAACCAAAAAUGUCCAGCUUUUCCUCAUCCGGUAGUUCUCUGAAAACAAUUAGUAUGAUUUUUUUGCUGAUUCUGAAAUGAAUUUAUUAUGUGCAGAAUUGGAUCUAUUCUCCAGUAGUUCAUCUUGGGUUGCUAUUGCGAAGGACUCUGCAAAUUGGAUUUGAAGGAGCUGCUAUUCAAGGUACCCAUCUUCUGUUUCUGCUUUGGAAAGAAGCAAUGCAUAUCCGCUAUGUUUACAGUCACUUUCACCAACCAAUCAGGUUCAGGUUUUGCUCAUUCUGUGUUUCGAAAACCAUCAUGUUUGCAUUAUAGAAUUUCGACCCAAGAUAUGGAGGCCGCUGCUGGGGCAUUGAGCCCUGUCCUUCGUAAGCUCGGUGAGCUGCUCGCUGGAGAAUACAACCUGGCGAAGCGAGUAAAGAAAGGAGUACAAUCACUUCGUAUAGAAUUGGAGAUGAUGCACGCUGUACUUCGUGAGGUUGGCAAGGUGCCGCUGGAUCAGCUCCAGGAGCCGGUCCGGAUUUGGGCUGGCAAGGUGAGAGACCUGUCUUGCGACAUGGAAGACGUUGUUGACGACUUCAUGGCGCGUGUGGGUGAGAGUUCAGGCAGAAAGCCAACGGACAUGAGGAGUCGAGUCAAUAAGUUCCUCAAGAAGACCACCACAUUAUUUUGUAAAGGCAAAGCACUUCAUCAAAUCUGUGAUGCCAUCAAAGAAGCUCAGGAUCUUGCCAAGGAGUUGGCAGAGCUGCGUAAAAAGUAUGAGCUUGACAUGUUUAGCUCUACCAACGGUGCUACCAUUGACCCUCGUGUAUUAGCUCUACAAAAAGACGUAGGGGAGCUUGUUGGACUUGACCGCACAAGGGAUGAACUUAUUAAAACACUGAUUUGUGCGGACAGGAGUUCCAAGGAGCACUUGAAGACCAUCUCUAUUGUUGGUGUUGGUGGCCUAGGCAAGACAACCCUCACCAAAGCAGUUUUCGAGAUGAUCAAAGCCCAAUUUCAUUGUGCAGCUUUUGUCCCGGUGGGUCAGAACCCAGAUAUCAGGAAAUUUUUCAAAGACCUACUCUAUGGCUUCGACAAAGAGAAGUUCAAAGACAUUCAUAAUACAACAAGAAAUGAGAAACUACUCAUGGAGGAAAUCAGUGAAUUCCUUCUGGAUAAGAGGUAUGCAUCACAUUGUCCUUGUCUUUAUUUUUAUAUUUCGAAAAUGUGUGAAGUAGCCAGAUACUGAAUUUCAUAUCAAUAUCAUUUUUUGUUACAUGUUUUUAUAUUUGUAGUGGUCCUUUUCUCCAUAAGCAAAUUAUGUUUCUUCCUUUCUUGUGCAUGCACCUUAUCUUUUUUUUACGAGUUAUCUUUGUUGCAUUUCUUUCUACAUACAUAUCGUUAGUGGUUGAAUAAUUCAUGUGGUUUGCUUAGUACGUUACCAUUAUGUUGUCACAGGAUUCAGUUGUAUAUAGAUUGACUUGCCCACUAAUGAUACAGUAUAACUGGCAUAGGUACCUCGUUGUAAUUGGUGAUAUAUGGGAAGAAGAAAUAUGGAGAUUUAUAAAUUGUGCUUUGUGUAAAAACAAACUCCACAGUCGGGUAAUCACAACAACCCGUAAUGUGAGUGUGUCUGAAGCAUGUCUCUCUUCUAGUUAUGACAUGAUUCAGCAAAUGAAACCUCUUUCUGAUGAAGACUCAUAGAUACUCUUCCAUAGAAGAAUAUUUCAAAGCAAGGAGAAAUGUCCAUAAGAUUUGCAAGUAGUAUCGAGAGAGAUAUUGAAGAAAUGUGGUGAUGUACCAUUAGCCAUCAUUACAAUAGCUAGCCUCCUGGUUAGUAACCAAAAGAUAAAGCAAAAAGAUGAAUGGGUGCAUGUGUGCAAUUCGAUGGGCCGUGGAGUUACACAAGGUGGUAUUUUGAAGGACAUGAAGAGGAUAUUAUCACUCAGCUAUUAUGAUUUGCCAUCUCAUCUGAAGCCUUGUUUAUUAUAUCUAAGCAUCUUUCCUGAAGACUUUGAGAUUGAGAGAGACUGGUUGAUAUGGAGGUGGCUUGCUGAAGGGUUUAUCCAAUGUGACAAAGAUGAAACCAGGCUGUUUGAGAUCGGAAAGAGCUACUUCAAUGAGCUUAUGAACAUGAGCUUGAUCCAGCCAGCAAAAAUCAAUUUGGAAGGAACGGCAGUAACUUGCCGUAUACAUGAUAUGGUGCUUGACCUUAUAUGCUCACUGUCAAGUGAGGAGAAUUUUACCUCCAUAUUGGAUAAUGCUGAGUGGCAUGCACCUAAUCCGCAAAGGAAAUUUCGCAGGUUAUCACUUCAUAAUAUCAAGGCGAAGGUUCAGAACCAUCAAUUGAUAGCACUAGCUGUCAAAAGUGAGGACCUUUGCUAUUUUUUCUUCGGUUACUUUCGAUUGGUUGCCAUCUCUCUCAUGCUUCAAAUUUUUACGUGUGCUGGAUAUUGGAAAUUGUGUCAGCCAUGAAAGUAGCUCUGGUAUCAGCCUCAAGUAUGUUGGGAAUUUAAUUCACCUAAGGUACCUAGGGCUCAAGGAUGCAGAUGUUUGCGACCUCCCAAUGGACAUAGGCAAGUUGCAGCUUUUACACACACUGGAUAUAAUAGACACUAGUAUAAAAGAAUUACCUUCAAGUGUUGUACAGCUCAGAAAUUUGAUAUGCCUAUGUGUCAAUUCUAGGGUGAGGCUGCCAAAAGGAAUGGGGAGCUUGAUGUCCCUUGAAGUGCUGGAACAAGUAGGCUUAUCCUUGUCUCCUCACUUUAUGAAAGACCUGGGCCAUCUGACAGAGGUUAGGACGCUCAGUGUUGACUGUCGUAACAUGGACGAGGAUCUGAUUGAUAUAUUAAUCAAGUCUCUAGGCAACCUGCAGAAAUUUUAAAAUCUGCGUAUUUAUGAUGGUGGCAGAUUGUUAGAUCGCAUGUGUGAAAGUUGGGUGCCACCUCCAAACCUCCGUAGUUUUGAUUCAUGGGACCCCUUUUCUCCUUCGCAGUUCUCGCGACUUCCAAAUUGGGUUAAUUCAAUGUCGCUUCCCCACAUCUCCACCCUGAAGAUAGAUGUGGAAGAACUGCAAGGGGAUGACAUUCAGAUCAUUGGGAUGAUGCCCGCUCUUUGCUUUCUACAGCUGUGUACACGUCGCGUGAUGGGAACGUUGGUUGUGAGGGCCGAAGCAUUCCCAUCUGGAAGAUGUUGCUGGUUCUACGGGUUUCCGAUGCCGCCGAGCCUUUUUCUACCUGGAGCUAUGCCAAUGGUUCAGCGCCUUGCCUUCGGGGUAUCUGUGUGGUCUAUCGCGAGUGUUGAGGUCAACUGCGGCAUGAGCCACCUCCCUUCUCUCGAGCAUGUUGAGGUUUUUCUGCAGCAUGAGAAUUCCAGUGAUGAAGAGAUGGAGACAGCCAAGGCUUGGCUGAGGCGUGCAGGAGAAGCCCAUCCAAAACGUCCCACCAUUCAAAUCAUUGACUGGUGAGUGCUGACAUCCCUCUGCCGCCGGUAAGGUAUGGUCUACUCACCUGAGAAACCAAGAAUUCCCUUUUCCUGAAAAUGCUCAUCACCAUAUUAUUUGAUUUAUUCCUCUUAUUAGUUUCCCAAUUUCAGGCCUUCAAACAAAUCCUGGGUCAGGUACUCUACUAGUAGUUCCAUCAGUCGUUGCGGAUAUUGCAACAACAUUUCGAUAGGCGAAAAACAAUUCUAUCUCGUUUGAUUCCUGUGCCACUGCAGCUUCCACUAACGAAGGCUCAUUCUCUCUGUGUAUGUUCGGGUUCCGUCUUGAGGCUGCUGGUGUUGUUCAUGAUGAUCUGUUUAUUUUUCCUGCAUAUGCUUUCGGAAAUGCAGUAUCUCAUUUCCUUUAUUCAGUCAAGACUCGUACAAUAAAAGGUUGCAUUCAGUGGCACUAUUUGUAACACUACUACCUCUACUUCCUUUAUUCAGUCAAGACUCGUACAAUGAAAGGUUCCGUCUUGGCACUUAUUCAGUCAAGAGCUGUACAAUAAAUGGUACUCCCUCUGUAAACUAAUAUAAGAUCUUUGUGAUCUAAAAGAUCUUAUGUUACUUUACAGAGGGAGUAAUUAUUGGUUGACCUCCUGUUGUAGCUCCAGAUUUGCUUCAUCGUAUUCGUAAAGUUUUCUCUUACUGCAACUAUUGUUUUCUCUUGGAUGUUUGCGCGUGCAUCUGUUACAGCACAGAUAGAUCGGUGUCAACUGUUCAUGGCGAGUGCAACACUGACGACUGAAGCAUAAAUUUUUUAUAAUAUGCUGUAUGCAAAAGCCCACAACAGCCAACCAGUUACUCUACCGCUCCUGUUUAGCAUAACAUCAACAGUUGCAACUACUCCCUGUCUUUCGGUUCGUUCGGAACAUAUUUUCUGGACUACCAAUUGGAGUAACCAAAUCAAUUCAAUGUGAUAAUUUGUGCAGCAUAUAAUACAUAUUCAAUCAAGUCGAUUAUCUAGAAAUGCGCAUGUGUCUCAUAAACCGGAAGAGAGGGUCCUAAGCAAGACCUCAAGAAUUGGGCCAUCAGGCAGUGCUCACAAUAAGAGGAGAGAUGCAAUUUAACACAGUGGAGAGCAAGGGCCAUGCUUUCGCAUUCAAAAGCAACAUAUAUGCAAUCCGAUCCAAUGCUGCAGCUGUAGCCGCCUUCAAGCCGAGUUUCGAGGAGAGGGGAAUGUUAGAAAUCUCUUCUGACAGUGACCGUUACACACACUCUGGCUCUGCAUCCCGAUCCCCUCCAUCUGGGGCUUGUUCAUGCCUCUGAAUUACAACAACCUUGUAAUCCCUGCGCAAUUGAGUGCGCUCAGUAGUGGGUUGCUAAAAACAGGUUUCUCCAAGCUGGUGAUGGCUAAUUCAUCCAGCUCUGAAAAUCUAGAGAAGAAAAGACCCCCAAAACUUUAAAAAAAAAAAAAGACCCCCAAAUCCUCAACGAGGGAUGAGAUCCAAAACUAUCCCAGACCGCCCAGAGAGGCAGAGACUACCUCAAGGUUACACGUUUAGAAUAGUGCAGAACUAGUGAGUGAAACGUAAGAAAUUUACAGCAAUUCUGCGUUGAAGAAACCUUAGCGGCCACAACAGCCAGCCAGCACUCGCUUGCUCCUGUUGCCCAUUUAGACGACUGCAAGUACUCCCUCUCUUCUGGUUUUUCAUUAGGCAUGUACAGUACUUUCUAGAUCAUGAAUUGGACAAUUAAUUGAAAUAUGAGCUACAUGUCACAAAGAGCAUAUCAGUGGAUCCUCUUCCGAAUACGAAUUCAGUUCAGUGGCAUAUUUUUGUGACAUGUAAUACAUAUUCAAAUCAGAUUGAUCAUCUAGAAAUGUGCACUUGUCUUACAAACUGAACUUGAAGAUUAGGAUGGCAAGCACGCCAAGUCAAUGAUUCGGUCCUUAAUUAGAAGGGAACCGAACACAAUGCAAAAGAAUAUCUACUCCUGCCAAACAAUUUUGUCUAGAAGAUUACAUGCGUAUGAAUUACAAUAAGGGAUCUCUAACAAGGACUAGAGAUGCUUGAGAGUCAGGUCUCAGCAGAUUAAGAAACAGUUUUGUCUCUCUGCCUCCAUGUGAACACCUAAAGUAAAAGAUAAUAAAAGCAUUUGGAGUAAUAAUAUAUAAAAGGAAAAAAACUGUGCGCUCCAGCUUAUGGCUUUUAGAUGGGAUUUUAAACAUUGCAUUAUUACCAGUGGGCCUAAUCAAGCAUUGGAGACGCCUAAUAAGUAUUAGUAGUGGUAGUAGUAGGUAGGUGCACACCGACGAAUUAACCACAAAGGCACAAAGCACUCCGGCCGGAUCCACAAUACUUGCUCCUUCUCUCCUUCGUCUCCGGCGACUAGCAGUCCCCGGCGGCGACAUCGCCAAAGGUACUCUUCCUCCUCUUCUGUUCAGUUCUUUUGUCUCAGAUGGCUCACUUAUUUUUUUUUCCGUUCUUUUUGGUUUUGAUUGAUGUGCAGAAUUCGGCCUGUUCAACACUCUCUCAGCAGAGAGCUUUGCAAACUGGAGGUGGACAGCUGCUGUUCCGUGUUCCGGAUCCUCUUCUUCGACUUGCGGUCUUGAUUGAAGACUGGAGGUGGAGAGGUGAUGCUUUUGCUCAUCAUGCAUGGGAACCAUUUCUUUUUUUGUUCCAUUACAGCCGUCUGUGUGUAGAUCGAGAGCAAGGAGAGGGCCCAACUUUUGCUCUCUCGUCUACCAAGAAAUAGCUGAGAAGGCCCAGAGAGAGCACAAAAUAUUUCAAAUUCUGAAAUCAUACUCCUGUUUUAGUAGGGGAUGCUGUCGAAGACACGGCAGCUGCUUGGGUACUCGAUUGCCCAGAGUACAUCCAAACUGCCAUGUCCCUGUCACCUUUUUCCGUCUACUUUUGAUGGGAAGGCGUUGCUUAUUACGGUAGUUCUUCUACGUCUGUCAAAAUAGUAAACAGGAUUUUGAGGAGCCGCACGCCUUACGGCACACCUCUCUCCUCUUUUCCAUCCUUUGUGGUUUUGAUGUUGCAGAGUUGAAUCCGUUCAGCAUUCGCUCAGCAGAGGUGGGGAGUUGCUGUUCGCUGUCGUCCGCCACAAGUUUAGCUUUGCUCAUCCUGAAACCGAUUGUCUUCCCACUACAGCCAUGCCCAUGCGUAUAGAUCCAGAGCAAGGGGAGGGUCAGCUCUUUCUCGAUCUGUUUCUCCACUCGUUAAUCUCGUGUUGCUAUUUUAUUUUGUGAGGCACAAACAGUAAAAAUCUUGUUUCUGGAUUUUUUUAUUAAUUUAUAAUUAUAUUAGUGAAAAUGUUAAAUGUGUGCUGUAUAUCACAGGUUAAGAAAAAGGAAUAAUAAAAAAUAAAGCAAAGAGGAAAACUGGUCAGUUGUCAGAGCUUAGCAUCUGUCCAAGUUCUGAGGAAUGCAGCAUCUUUUCUUUUCACACCGUGACCAACCAAAAAUCAGAUCAUGCUUUCCCAAACAAAUUAGUACCGGGAGCUGUUACUUUCCCCAACCAGAAAUGUCCAGCUUUUGCUCAUCCGGUGGUCCUCUGAAAACAACUAGUAGGAUUUUUGGUCAUUCUGAUGUGAAUUUAUGAUGUGCAGAACUGGAUCUUUUCUUCAGUAGUUCACCUUGGGUAGCUGUUGCAAAGGACUCUGCAAAUUGGAUUUGAAGGAGCUGUUAUUCAAGGUAAUCUUCUUCUACUUCUGCUUUGAAGGAAAGCAAUGCAUAGGCGCAUAGUGUACUGUUACUUUCACCGACCAAUCAAGUUCAGGUUUUCCUUAUUCUGUCUUCUGAAAAACAUAAUGUUUUCAUUGCAGAAUUUCACGCCAAGGACAAUGCUAUAGCCGUCUGUAGAUCCAGAGCAAAGACAAAAAAAAGAUCGAGAUAUGGAGGUCGCUGCUGGGGCGAUGGGCCCCGUCAUCCGUAAGCUCGGCGAGCUGCUCGUCGGAGAAUACAACCUAGAGAAGCGAGUAAAGAAAGGCGUACAAUCGCUCCUAAACGAGCUGGAGAUGAUGCACGCUGUACUUCGCAAGGUUGGCGAGGUGCCGUCGGAACAGCUCGAUGAGCCGGUCCGGAUUUGGGCUGGCAAGGUGAGAGACCUGUCUUGCGACAUGGAAGACGCUGUUGACGACUUCAUGGUGCGUGUGCAUGAGGGUUCAAGCAGCAAGCCUACGAACAUGAGGAAUCAAGUCAAGAAGUUUCUCAAGAAGACCACCAAACUGUUUGGCAAGGGCAAAGCACUUCAUCAAAUCAGUGAUGCCAUCAAAGAAGCUCAGGAUCUCGCCAAGGAGUUGGCGGACCUGCGUAGAAGGUACGAGCUUGACACUCGUAGCACUAGCAAUGGUGCUACCAUUGACCCUCGUGUGUUAGCUCUGCACAAAGAUGUAGGGGAGCUUGUUGGCGUUGACCGCACAAGGGAUGAGCUUAUCAAAACACUGAUUUGUGAGGAUGGGAGUUCUAAGGAGCAAUUGAAGACGAUCUCUAUUGUUGGUGUUGGUGGGCUGGGCAAGACUACACUCACCAAAGCAAUUUAUGAGAAGAUCAAAGCCCAGUUUGAAUGUGCGGCUUUUGUCCCUGUAGGGCAGAACCCUGAUAUCAAGAAAGUUUUCAAGGACUUACUCUAUGACCUGAACAAAGAAAAGUUCAAUGACAUUCAUAAUACAUCAAAGGAUGAAAAUCUCCUCAUCAAGGAAAUCAGAGAAUUCCUUGUGGAUAAGAGGUGUGCACCACAUAGUGCUUGUCUUUUUGUAUAUAUUUCAGAAGAAGUAGUGAGAUAUAUACUGAAUUUUAUAUCUUCAUUUCCUUGUUUGUUAUAUUUUUAUAUCUGUAGUAGUCCAUUUCUUUUUAAGCAAAUUCGACUUCUUUCUUUUUUGCGCAGUUGCCUUAUUUUUGUUAGUCCUGUAUACUUUUAAGCCAUUCUGUUGCAUUUCUUAAUAUUUUUGCAUGCAUAUCCUUACUGGUUAUAUAAUCCCAAGGUUUGCUUUAGUACCUUAUAGUUUAUCCUUGUUACAAAAUUCAGUUGUACUAUAUAGAUGACUUCCCAACUAACUCUAUCAAAAUUAUUGGCAUAGGUACCUUAUUGUAAUUGAUGAUAUAUGGGAAGAAGAAAUAUGGAGAUAUAUAAAUUGUGCUUUGUAUAAAAACAAACUCCAUAGUAGGGUAAUCACAACAACCCGCAAUGUGAGUGUGUCUGAAGCAUGUCUCUCUUCCAGUGAUGACAUGAUUCACAAAAUGAAACCUCUUUCUGAUGAAGACUCACAAAUACUCUUCCAUAGAAGAAUAUUUCAAAGCGAGGAGAAAUGUCCAGAAGAUUUGCAAGCAGUAUCAAGAGAGAUAUUGAAGAAAUGUGGUGGUGUACCAUUAGCCAUCAUUACAAUAGCUAGCCUUCUAGUCAGUAACCAAAGGAUAAAGCAGAAAGAAGAAUGGAUGCAUGUGCACAGUUCGAUGGGCCGUGGAGUUACAGAAGGUGGUAUUGUGAAGGACAUGAAGAGGAUAUUAUCACUCAGCUAUUAUGAUUUGCCAUCCCAUCUGAAGCCAUGUUUAUUAUAUCUAAGCAUCUUUCCUGAAGACUUUGAGAUUAAGAGAGAUUUGUUGAUAUGGAGGUGGCUUGCUGAAGGGUUUAUCCAAUGUGACAAAGAAGAAACCAGGCUGUUUGAGAUAGGAAAGAGCUACUUCAACGAGCUUAUGAACAGGAGCUUGAUCCAGCCAGCACAAAUCAAUUUGGAAGGAACGGUAGUAACUUGUCGUAUACAUGAUAUGGUGCUUGAUCUUAUAUGCUCACUGUCAAGUGAGGAGAAUUUUAUCUCCAUAUUGGAUAAUGCUGAGUGGCAUGCACCUAAUCUGCAAAGUGAGCUAUGCCAAGGGUUCAACACCUUGACUUCGAGGUCUCUGCGCCGUCGAUCGCAAGUGGUGAGGUUGACUGCGGCCUGGGGCACCUCCCUUCUCUUGAGCGUGUUCAGGUUUGUCUGGAGCGUGAGAAUUCCAGCCAUGAUGAGAUGGAGACAUCCAAGGCUUGGCUGACGCGCGCAGCAGAAGCCCAUCCAAAACGUCCCACCAUUCAAAUCUAUUUGACAUGAGUGCUGACAUGCCUCUGCCGCGCCGGUAAGGUCAUGUUCGUCUGAGCAACCAUGAUUUCUCUUUUCCUGAAUAUGCUUGUUGCCAUAUUGUUUGAUUUAUCCCUCUUACUUUUCCAAUUUCAGGCCUUCAAUGUAAACCCAUCAGUUGCCGCAGAUACUGUUCCAACAUUUUGAAACAGCAGCUACAAUGCAGCUCCCAAUAAGCAAUGCGAAUUCCGUCUUUUGCUACACGGAGGCUUCUGCAGAAAUGCAGCACCUCAUUUCCUUUAUUCAGCCAAGACUCGUACAAUUAAAGGUUGCAUUCAGUUGGCACUGUUUGUAUUUGUAACACUAGUACCCCUUACGUUUUAAUCUCCUCAUUCAUUUGCUUGUCCACCUACGACAUUGUUUUGUUUCUAUUGACUUAUUAAUGAAGAGUUGAUCGGACUCCAGUUGGCUUGUUUUUGCUUUGAUUAGCACUUACAUUCAGUCAAGACUCCUACAAUGAGAGCUCUUAUACUCCUUCUCUCUCAGUUUACAAGGCGUGCACGUAUCCAUAGGCAUCAAUUUGACCAACCUUAUAGAAGUCAUAUAUUACAAAAAACAUACCAUUAUAAACUUUAGAUGUUCUAUUUUCAAACCGUAUAAUUUUUUUGUUAUAUAGUUUAUAUUACGGUGAUAAAAUUGGCAACCUAGGUAUACGCGCAGGACUUGUAAACUGAAACGGAGGGAGUAUUUCUUUACAGAGGGAGUAGUUGGUUAAACUCAUGCUGUAGCUCCACAUUUGCUUCAUGUUGUUUUUUUCAAGUUUUCUCUUCUUGCUGCAAUUAUUGUUUCGAGCUCGUGACAGAGAGUCACAAACGCUAAGAUAGAAUACCAUACCACUAUUGAUCUUCGUGCCUUAAGAUUACAUACACAAGUGCAAAAAUGAUGACCAAAUAAAACAUAAGAACAAUUAUAGAAUUUUGUAAGCAAAAAGCCCACAGCAGCCAACCACCGUUCGCUCGCUCCUGUUUCACAUAACAUCAACAGUUUCAAUUACUACCUCUUUCGGUUCCUUUGGAACAAAUUUUCUUUCUAGAUUAUCAGUUGGACUAACGAAAUCAAUUCAAUGGUGUAUCUUUUUGUGGCAAUACAUAUUCAACCGAAUCGAAUAUCUACAACUAACAGACAAUCAAAUGGUAUGACUGAGUGAGCCGAGUAGUAGGUUGCUUACAGGAUUCUCCAAAGCUGGAAAUCUACAAAGAAAUAGACUCCCAAAUCCUCGCAAAGGAAUGAGAUCGAGAACUGCUACAGACUGCUUCGCUGUUUUCACUUCCUCGUAUAUUCUUUUGGCAGAUGAUUGCCUCGGCUUGUAUUGCAAGCAAAUGCGAUUAGGUUCGUGGCAAUGGUGGAUGAUUACCACUAUUGGUCUACAUUCUAGUAUUGUUGACGUUCUGCUGGAAAUAACUGGUGCAUAACUAGUGACUAAAACAUAAGAAUUCUACAUCAUUUCUUGGCCACAACAGCCAACGAUAUAAUGAUAUAACUCACCAGCUCUCCCUCUCGGUUUUUCAUUAGGCAGAUACGGCGCACAGGGCCACAACUCUGAAAUAGGGCCACAGCUUCAAACAUCAAACACUAAACCAGUCAGUCCACAUUCAAACACAAUAGUCCAAUCACAGUCAAUCAGAGUUCAUUAACCAGGACAACAUUACAUAAUCCAUAAUCGACCACAAUGUAAAAAUCUCAUGACGGCCACAGAAAUUAGGCAGCCAUCGUUCACGGACUAUCGCAUCUUACGGAAAACGCUGAAACAUCUUUAAGCAGAAGGAAAAAAAUUCCACAUAAAACAACAUACACAAGCACAAGAAUCCAUAGGCUACGCGGAAAUUUGACCACUACAGCUCGUCAUCUACCCUUAACACCCCAUCUCCUUUUGAUUCUCCAGGUGAGGCAAUUAUUUACAGCUAGCAACAUUUUAUGGCGGCAGGAGGACCGAAAACUUUCCAUAUGAAUGAAGCCGAUCAAAGUAACUCCAGCUACUGGUAAUCAGGGUUGAACGCGAUGCCCUCUUGGUGGAUUAGAUCCUUCAUUUGUUCUUCCGACAACGCAUGCUGCUCGAAGUCAAAGCUGAAGGGCAUCGUGCAGACUGGCUCAUCACUUAUGUCAUGCAGCGAUGCCAAGUAAGGAUGCGCAAGUGCACCUUCAACUGACCAAAAAAUAAAGGAACAAUCAGUAACUAUCGAUCAAUAACUGACCAAAAAAAUAAAGGAUGAAUCUUGGAGACAGAUAUUUUGCAGUCAAAACUAUGGAUUGUCAACAAUAGAAACACCACCCAACAGGCAACAAUGAUUACUUUAGCAUUCCCACUUCAAACUAAUGACCUUUGCAUACCUACAGAGAGUAUGGACACGUUCCUACCCACUUGGGCUGUAAAUCCAGCCCAAUUUAAU